GCUUCAUUGGUAGCCGUAGAAAGCACGUUAUAUUAAACAAGUAGAGAGAGAGGCAAGGACUAUCCUUUGCUAAUAGGCAACAAAAAAAUUCUAAUUCUAAUAGAAUACUAACAAUGCUAAACAGCUUUAAUCAAAUUCAAAGAAACCUCAAAGAAAUUUCAAAGAAAUAAUAAGAAAUCUUAAAGAAAUAUUAGAAUGAUCACAAAUUUAUCUCAAAUACAUCACAAUUCAAUCUUAAUUUAAUCCUAGUUAAAAUCCUAUUAGACUUCAUUCAAACUUUAGGCCAAAACUAAUUAAAUCUUAAAUCCUAAACAAAUCCUAAUAAAAUCCUAAACCCUAAAUCAAAUCCUAAAUUCUAAACCAAAGUCUAACCAAAUCCUAAACAAAUCCUAAAUCAAAUCCCAACCAACUCCUAAACCAAACCCUAAAUCCUAAACCAAAUCCUAAAUCUUAAAUCAAACCCUAAACAAACCCUAAAUCUUAAAUCAAAUCCUAAAUAAAUCCUAAAUCAUAUCUUAAAUCCUAAAUCAAAUCCUAAAUCAAACCCAAAUCCUAAAUCAAAUCCUAACCAAACUCUAAAUCCUAAAUCAAACCCUAAACCAAAUCUUAAAUCCUAAAUCAAAUCCUAAUCAAAUCCUAAUCUUAAAUCAAAUCCUAACCAAACUCUAAAUCCUAAUCAAAUCCUAAAUCCUAAAUCAAAUCCUAAACCAAAUCCUAAAUCCUAAAUCAAAUCCUAACCAAAUCUUAACCCUAAAUCAAAUCCUAACCAAACUCUAAACCCUAAAUUAAUCCCUAACCAAACCCUCGUAAUUCUUACAACAGAUUUAAAUCUCAAUAACUAAUGAAUGAAUCAUCGAUCUUAAUCCAAAUUUUUCACACUUUUUGAAAACUAAAUUAAAAAAAAGCACAAAAAAUUUGAAAAAGAUCGGAAUUACCAAAUAGACAAUAACCUCAAAAAUGUGCUCGGAUAUUGGCUGGCUUCCUUUUCCAACCUUGAUGCCAAUCUCUCAGAGCCAAUAUCUCUCCUUUUCACCGUUCGAUUGAUCUCAAAAUUCUCAUACACAUAGAAAUACAAGUUAAAUAUCUUCUCACAUAAAUUUUAUUCCAAUCCAACCAAUAGAUUGCAAGAAAUCUUAAAAAUUCUCACUGGACCUAAAAUUCUACUUUUUGAGACCUUGACCUUGUUAAACCUCAAUAAUCCUUAAUUCAACCGUUAGAUUGAGCUCAAAUUUAUUAUUCAUAUUGAACACAACUAUAAAUAAUAACUUACAAUAUUUCAGCCAUAGAUCUGUUACAAAACUCUUGAAAUCACCCAAAACGUAAAUCUUAUUUUAUUUCACAAAAUUCAAGUCAUCCAAACCAAACCUUGACUUUGCAAAGCUCUUACAAGGUCAAUAUAGAUCCAAAGCAUCCAAAACCAAUGCUCAUAGAAACCUUAUUCAAUCUUCUAUUAAAUCCUACUCUCCAAUCUACCAAAGAGUCCCGAAGUCGUCGUCAAGACUCAAUUUUGUGCCUCAAGGUCUGAUUUUGAUCCUAGUUCAUAACUAGCCCUCUCCGGGUAUCAAUAUCUAGUUUUUCUAAGAAAAUUUUACUAGAAUUUACUCUUAACUUCCUUCUUAAGAUACUUAUAUUAUUUUUUUUCCAAUCUACAUUGUUUUGCCUUAUUUAUGGCCCUACAAAGUAAGUAGAAGUCACUUUUUUAAAAAGGCAGCAUUACUACUAAAAGUUUUACUACCUCCCUAACUUUUAUCCAUAUUUUUUUAUAUUAUCUUUUAACUUUAUUUUUCUAUAAUAAGAUCCAUAUUAUCAUCUUUUACCAUAUAGUUGUAUUACAACACGAUAAUGAGAAUGCCAUGCCAUGGUUUUUUCUAUUAAAAAGUUUAGACAUUAUCUUUUCUUAAAUCCAGUGGUAUUUUUUAUAGACCACAUGGUAAUCAAGUACCUUGUGAAUAAGGCUGAUUUAAGUAGUAGACUUACAAGAUGGGUGCUUCUACUAGAAGAAUUUGAUUAUAUAGUAGAAUACAAGCCUGAAAAGAUGUAUAAGCAAACAGACCAUUUAUCUAGGUUGUCACAACAAAUUGGUGAAGCCCUAAUUGACGACACCUUAAUACAUGAAACCUUGUUUAUUGUUUCAAUUUCUCCUACUUGAUAUGAAUUAAUUGCCAAAUUUAUGAUAACCUAAGCCUUGCCUUCUCAUCUUUCUAAAAUAGAAUGUAUGAAGGUGAGAAUCAAUAAUAGACACUUUACCAUAAUUGGAGGCAAAUUAUAUAGACGUGGAAUCAACGGGAUGUUAAAGAGGUGUAUCAUGGACAACAAAAUUCCUACCAUUCUAUCAAUAUGUCAUGAUAGUGCAUAUAAGAGAUAUUUUUCAGGGACCUUAACGGGCCAAAAAUCCUUAGAACUAGCUAUUAUUGGCCUAUAUUAUUCUAAGGCAUCUAUAGAUAUACAAAAGCUUAUGAUGCAUGUCAACAAUAUCGUAAUACGUAAAGUCUUGCUUGACAAUGAUCCGGGUACCUAGCUAAGGAAGAUAGAAUAGAAAUUGCAACAAUAAAAUCCUAAUUGUAAUAGAACACUAACAAUACUAAACAAGCCUUAAUCAAAUUCAGAGAAACCUCAAAGGAAUUCCAAAGAAACACUAAGAAAUCUUAAAGAAAUAUUAGAAUGAUUACAAACAUAUCUCAAAUACAUCUCAAUUCAAUCUUAAUUUAAUUCUAAUUGAAAUCUCACUUCAUUCAAACUUUAGGCCAAAAACUAACUAAAUCUUAAAUCCUAAAUAAACUUAGAUAAAAUCCUAAACUCUAAAUCAAUUCUUAAACCCUAACAAAAUCUUAAAUCCUAAACCAAAUCCUAAUCCUAAAUCAAACCCUAGCCAAACCCUAAACUUUAACCCUAAAUCAAAUCUUAAUCAAAUCUUAACCUUAAUCUUAAAUCCUAAAAUAAACCUUAACCAUACUUUAAUUCUAAAUCAAGCCCUAAUCAAAUUCUAAACCCUAAAUCAAAUCCUAAUCCUAAAUCAAAUCCUAACCAAAUUCUAAAUCUAAUCCUAAAUCCAAAACUAAAUCCUAAUCAAACCCUAAUCCUAAAUCAAAUCCUAAUCAAACCUUAAUCCUAAAUCAAAUCCUAACCAAAUCCUAAUCCUAAAUUAAAUCCUAAUCAAAUCCUAAAUCUAAUCUUAAAUCCUAAAUCAAAUCCUAACCAAAUCCUAACCCUAAAUCAAAUCCUAACUAAAUCCUAAUAAUUUCUACAAUAGAAUUAAACCUCAAUAACUAAUGAAUGAAUCCUUGAUCUUUAUUUGAAUUUUGCACACUUCUUAAAAAUUAAGUUGAAAAAAAGUACAAUUUUUUUAAAAAGAAUUGGAAUUACCAAAUAGUUGAUAACCUCAAAGACGUGCUCAAGUAUUGGCCGGCCUCCUUCUCCAACCUUGAUGCUAAUCUCUCAGAGCCAAUAUCUCUCUUUUUCACCAUUCGAUUGAUUUCAAAAUUCUCAUAUACAUAGAAAAACAUGUCUAAUACCCUUUCACAUAAAUUAUACUCCAAUCUAACUAGUAGAUUGCAAGAAAUCUUAAAAACCCUCAUUGGACCUAAAAUUCUACUUUCUGAGACCUUAACUCACUUAAAUCUCAAUAAUCCUCAAUUUAAUCAUUAGAUCAAGCUAAGAUUCACAUAACAUAUUAAGCACAAUAAUGACCAUUAGCCCACAAAAUUUCAUCCAUAGAUCUAUUAUAAAAAUCUUGAAAUUACUAGAAAAAUAAACCUUAUUUUAUUUUACAAAUUCUAAGUCAUCUAAAAACAAUCUUGACUUUGUAAAGCUCUUACAAAGUCAUCAAAACUCCAAAUCACCUAAAAUUAAUGCUCAUAGAAACCUUAUCCAAUCUGCUAUUAAAUUUUACUCUUUGAUUUGCAAAAAAACCUCCGAAUUCUCGUAGGUACUAGGUUUUGUGCCUCACGGUCUGGUUUUGAUCAUAUGGUUAUAUUAUUUUUGAUCAUCUGGUUUUACCAUAUGGUUAUAUUACAACACAACAAUAAUAUGCUAGGAAUGACUUAAGCAUGAGUCUUCCUCUCCAUGUAUCCUUAUUUUUAGUUCCCUUUAGAAAAUGUUACUUUAAAGGUUGUUCUAUAAGCCUUUAAAGGUUGUUCUAUAAGCAACCCUUUUUUCCUUAAUUUAUGGCAUACAAGCAAUUUUAUCAAUUGAGUUUGAAAUUCCUUCUUUUUGUAUUUUCUUGAUGGAAAGAUUGUCAACUAAACAAUCUUUAAUUGAUUGGUUGGAAUGAUUAGAAGGUCUAGAUGAAGCCAGAAGAUGAAGUGCUCAACAUAUAGAGAUAAUUCAAAGAAGAAGAAAAAUUUCCUUUGACAAAUGAUACAAGAUUAGAAUCUUAACACCUUGCAUGUUGGUCUUCUUACAAGAUGCUAGGAGAUUAGACUUCCUAGAAAAAUUUGAUGCCACAUGGUUAGGUCCCUAUUUGGUUAAAGAAGUCUUUGCAAAUAAUUCAAUUUGGCUACAAACACUCAACAGUGAAAAUUUUCCAACCAAAAUAUCUAGAAAUAGAUGUAAAGAAUAUGGAGUGUGAUUACUAUCAUACACAAAGUCAAAUGGCUCAUCAUCAAAUUCACUCUUAUUCAAUUCCUUAAGUGACAAAUUAUCAAAAUCAAAUGGAAUUUAACAGCUAAACAUUGGACCUCAAGAUAAGCUACAAUUAUAUUCAAUUUUCUUGUCUUCUUUUGAAUUUAGUUCCUUCACCAAAUAAUUAGAGAUAUUCUAAGUAAAGGAGACAAGUACUUGAUGAGACUUUUAUACAAAAAAAUAAAUAAAUAAAUAAAUAAAUUAUUAAAUUAUUAAAAAUUGUGAGAAUGUAUCUUAGUAAACAUCCUAAUGGCAUAGAAGGGUUGGUUAGGUGAGAAGGUGUCAAGUGAGUGUCCCGGGUUUGAAUCCAGUUGGAAAAAAUGGGCUAUCCUAAUGAGCUAGUAUUAGUACAAGAAAAGACCAACCUUAACACUCAACAGAAAUAUAUGCCUUAGAAGGUUGAUAGUAAAAUCCUCCCAUAUUAAAGAAGAAUCUAAAAAGAUCAAUUUUUUAGCUCUCAUUUCUUCUAUAUAUAUAUCUAUAUAUAUAUAUAUAUAUAUAUAUAUAAUGUCAUUAAUUUUUAAGUUAGAUUUAAUUUUCUUUGUCAUUCUUGAUUAAUUCUAUAAAACAAAACUUGCUUUAGUUCCUUCAGAUUAGUAGCAAGUCACUCAUUCUUAUCUUCAAUAAUUAUUAAGAACUUCCAUAGAAAAAUCUUCUUUAUGUUCAAUAGCAUUUUAGAAGGUCAAUUCUAGGUUCUUCUCCUUUACAAGUCGUUCGAGAUGAUCACCAUGUGUGAGUCAUCAAAUUAACUCACUUAUUAUUUUAGAAUAAAAAUAUGCAGUUAGAAUGCUUUAAAUCACAAUAUAUAGUGAGUAGUGAGAAAUUCUUUGAGAAAUAGAAAAUUAGAAUAUUAGUGGUAGAGAUGGAAUCUAAGUAAGUCUUAGAGACAAUUAUCUUCAUUGAUUUAGUAUUUUUAUUCAUUGUUGAGUAUUAAAGAAUAUUUAUUAAGACCAAUAAUUAUAUUGGUCUUCUAUCUAUAUAUACUAUUUAUAAAAAAUAUAAAUUUUAGUUAUUAAAAGAAGCAUGAAUAAGAAUCUCAUAUCAUUUUAGUUAUUGAUAUAAAAAAUAGGAUUUAUAGUGGAUUUAAAUUGAUGUUUAUUAUAAUCAAAAAUCACAAAGGUAGGAACAUAUAGCCUUGCAUGGAUAUUAGUAUUAUUGAAAUAUUAUAGGAUUUUUAAAAUUUUAUUUAGAAUUUAUUUAUAUUUUUUUAAGAAUUUUUAGAGCAAUGUUUAAGAUCUUCGUAAAAAUGAGUUUUACCACUUCGAAAGCUAUUAUGAAGAAAGGGAGUAAGAUUUGAAGGCCACAUCAAGUUCCAAGCUAAUUGGGUGUUUUUAAAUACCAUGGUGUAGUCAAAAAUAUAAAACAAUGAGUUUUACUAGUAGAAAAUAGAAGGACCAACAACUAGUCUAGUCCUUGUAGGAGAAAAGGUCUACAAGUUCCAUAUGGGUUGUAGCACCUUGGGUUUAGGUAGGAAGAUAAGACUAAGGCCUCAGGGCCUCUUCAGACACCUGAUAUACACUACAUGUGAGCCUUAGUGAGGCUCAAACCCUUGAAGUAUAAGCAAGUUAUCCUUGAGGUAAAACAUUUUCACUUAACUUUUAUUUAUUUACUUAUUAUUUUUAAACCUUCAUAAUUUAUUCAUAGUAACUCGGAUUUACAUGUUUUUUACAUCAUUGAAAAGCUUAAAAAAUUAACUUCCUAAAAAUAUACUUUUUAUUUUUAUUUUUUACUUUUUAUUGGAUAAAAACUCCGUGAACAAACUGUGACCGAGUUUUGGAGUAUGUAUUUGCUUAUAUAUAUUUCUUUCACUUAUUUAUAUUGUUUCUUCUUUUGUUCUUGUUCAUUGCAUCUUCUACUUCAUACUACCUAUUACAAGCAGCUCUUAAUUGAAGCCAUCUUAUAAUUUGGAUAGAGAGGUUAACUUUAUAUUCACAACUUUUCUAAGGCAUUUUUUAUGGAAACAGAUGCAUGAGACUUUUCUUUGGGUACCAUAUCAUCACAAAUGACAGCAGAUGAUAAACUUCACUAAGUAGCUUUUCAUUCCAAAAAAAUUGUAGCAAUCGAAAUUAACUAUGAAAUCCAUAAAACAGAACUUUUUGCAAUCAUGGAUUCAUUUCAAGAAUUGCGUCAUCAUUUAGAAGGUACUUCUAAUCUAGUCACUGUAUAUACAAAUCACAAGAAUCUUGAGUACUUUAUAUGAGCACAUGUUUUAAAUUGUCACAAAGCCCGUUAGAGCAUGUCUUUAUGAAGAUUUGAUUUCAAGAUCUCAUAUUGAUCCAAAGAACUAUAAGGUUUAUUAGACACCUUUUUUAGAAGUUCUUAUCUUUUAUUAAAGGAAGAAAAUGAAUCUUUUGAUCAACAAAGAAUAAUUUUCUUUAAGCUAGAGAAUUUUCAUCUUCAAGUAAUGAAAGCAUCAUUGACUGUUGAUUUGACUCUUGUGAAACAAAUCUAAUCAAGUAUGUCUUUUGAUCCUCUUAUUCACAAUAUCAAGAAUCCUUCUUCUAAGUCCAAAGAUACUUCUAAGUUUGAAUUCAAAAAUAACUUACUCUAUUUUUGAAGGUUGAUUAUAUGUUCCAAAAGGAGAAGCAUGUUUACAUGUUCUUGAAGCAUGUCACGAAUUUCCAACUACUAGAUAUUUUGGAUACAAUAAGACUUUGGAACUUAUAUCCAGAGAUUUUUGAUGGCUACAAAUGCAAAAGGGUGUGAAAGACUUUUUUCAGUUAUGCGAUAUUUGUUGAAGAUCAAAAACUUCUCAUCAUUGAUCUUACCUAUUCCAGAACAAUCAUGGUCUUCUGUUUCUAUAGAUUUUAUCAUAGAUCUUUCAAUCUCAGGUUCUUAUGACUUUAUUUCAUAAUAAUAGAUCAUUUAAUCAAGAUGGCACAUUUUGUAUUAUAUAUAAAAUCUAUCAUAAGUGAAGAAAUAGCUAAACUCUUUCUUGACAACAUCUAUCGCUAUCAUGGAUUAUCUAAGGAUAUUAUAUCCGAUAGGAAAACUCAAUUUAUAUCAAGAUUUUGGUAGAUUCUUUUUAAGAAUCUAAAAGUGGAUAUAAAACUAUCUUCAAUAUUCCAUCCUCAAAAUGAUGGACAAACGGAGCAUGUUAAUCAAGUUUUGGAAUAGUAUUUAAGAUGUAUCAUCAACUCCCAAUAAGAUGAUUGAAUAAUUCUUUUACCAUUGGCAAAAUUUACUUUUAAUAAUAUGGUACAUUCUUCUAUAAAAUAAAUAUCUUUCUUUACUAAUUAUAGUUAUCAUCCAUGACUUGAUACUUUUGAUUUUUCAAAAGUUGAUAAUCCUGCGGCGGAAGAUUUUAUAAAUCAUUUGUCAAAGCUACAUGCAACAAUGAAGGCAUAGUUAAAAGAAGCUUAAGAACAAUAAAAGAUCAAUGUAGAUGUCUAUUAAAAGAAAUAACUACCAUUCCACAUAGGUGACAAGGUAUAGUUACUUCAUUGUAAUAUCAAGACUACUUGUCCUUGUGACAAGUUAGACUAUUUUAAGCUUAGACUAUUUUCUAUUUCUGUACAAAUCAAUCUAAUUGCAUAUUAUUUACAUCUACUAAAGUUGAUAAAAAUCCAUCUAAUAUUCUACUUGUCUCUUAAACCAUAUGAUAGAUUUGACAUAUCAAGAAGAAGACAAGCUCUACUUCGUCCUAUAGAAGUAGACAAUAAUAAAGAAUUCAAAGUCGAAGAAAUAAUAGACUCAAGGUAGUUCCAAAAUAAAUUAGAAUAUCUUAUCCAUUAGCAUGGAUAUGAUAUUAGUGAAUGCACAUAGAAGCCAGUAAAGAAUCUUGCAUAUACAACAAAGGCGGUGGAGGCUUUUCAUUGAUGACAUCCAUCAAAAUCAAGAUGAAAAACUUCUGUUGUCGUAUCAUGUCAUUUUCUAUCUCGAAAUACAUUGAAUAUCUAGCUAUAGAGAAUUUAGCUUGAAAUUUUAUAUGUAUCUUUUUUUAGCUUCCAAAAUUCCUUUAUUUUGCAUAAAAUUCAAAAUAUAACAAAAUCCCUUCAAAACAUAUUUUUCUCGUGAAGGAUUUUCUCUUCUUAAACUUUAAAAAUUCAUAACUCUUGAUCUAACUAUUUAAUUUUUCUCAAAUUAAUAAGAUAUGUAGAAUUCACUCUUACGUUUUACUACAAAAAAAUUCAAUUACAAAUUCAGUCUUGAUCUUUUGACAUCUAAGAAAUCCUAAUAGAUGCUCUAAACCCUAAUUUACAAGCACCUGAGCACUAUUUUCUUAAUAACUCAAGAUUCCAAUACUCAAAUGCUAUCAAUUUUAUGUACAAAGUUUAUUCACAUGAAUAUACACAUUCUUUAAAAUUUUGAGUCAAAACCUUGUCAAAUUUCUCAAGAAAUAGCUCAAGACACAACCACUAAUAAAUCAAGUCACUUACUACCCUUAGAUUGCAUGCAUUGACUUCAAAAUCCAAUAUCUCCUUUAUCACAACUUGGAAUCUAACAAGCAAUAUACAAAAAAUAUAGCCGCAAAAGUUUUCUUUUUAGUUGCGGUUGCCGAUCUUCAAUUGCUCUCUGCACGCAUGUGUGAUGUCAAAAAGCGUGACAGUAGCUCUCAAAUCAAUACCUUAACUUUGAGCACCUAUAUCUCCUUUAUAUAAACUCCAAAUCAUAUAAUAUUUGUACCAAAACCAUAGCCAAAAACUUGAGCUUUCUAAUCCUACUCUUCAAAGUUCGAAUGGCUUGGAAAACUAAUCCUAAUCUCUACUAUGGCCUUAGGCAGCCUCCUUGAAGUCUAUUGGUCACGAUUUUUGACCAAUAGGAAUGGAGAUUUUCAUCAUCCAUCUCCAUUCAUCUAUAUAGAUGCCCUAAACUCUCUUUUUGCUACCAAUAUCCUUCUCCAACUCUUUUCUUUACAAGAUUUAUUCAAUAUAUGCUCUACACACCAAAUUAAAGAAUCAAAAUAAGACUUCAAGGGUCACCAAUGUCUAAUAAAGAUGACUCUAAAUAUUUGAAAUUAUUACCAGUAAAAUCAAUCUCAAAAGCCAUUAUCAAAAGAAAAUAAAGUUAUACAAAUUCUAAUAAUAAUACUUUUAAACAACUUCAUUUUAAAUUAGUAAUUUAACCACAUUCUAUAACCAACUAAAAUACAAUAACAUGGCUCUCACCAUGUUGUUAAGUAAAUUAUGCAUUAAAUACAUAAUCAUAUUAUUUUCAUAUGGUAGCCGAACCACAAUGCGACACCAUAUAAAAGAAACAAGAUCUAAGCAAGAUAACAUUCUACUUUCAAUCCUUGUUUGUAACUUCUUUGUAGUUGUGACACUAAGGAGAUGGAGAACCAAUAACUAGCGGAUUCGAUUAAAGAGCCUUCAUUUGUUGACUUGCUGGAUAAGAUAUUGCAAUUGUCAUAACCUUCAAGAUGAUGUAAUCAAGAUGAAGAUCUUGAAGAACAACAUAUUUUUUCUCAAAUAGAUGGCAAGAUACAACUUCUUUGGUAUCACAACCUUUGAAGAGACUGUCGAUGUUUGAUAAUUUUAUUAGAAGUAGAAACAAUUCCUGGUGGUAUUCUAAAUAUUUUAUUUGAAGGAAGUUAUGAAGGCCUCAAUAAUGAUCAAAUAACAGGGUGAUCUUUCCGCCUUGAUAUGAGACACUAUCAAUAGUUGAGAAGCCCUAUCAAGCAUCUUUGAAGAGAACAAAGAUCUGAGUAUGUGACAAAUAUAAUUUGUUGAAUUAUAGAUUUCUUCAUGAUAUGAUGAUUGCUUCUUGUGGAACUUGUCAUUAGAAGGGGAGGUAAUAUCAUGGACAUAUACAUGUAAGCAAAUAUUUACCUGUAUAAAUAGGUAGAAGUAAGUAGAAAUAAGUAAAAGUAAGUUAAUUCUAUAAUAUCUUCUAUAGAAGCUUCAUAGAUACUGCUUUGAUUUUAUAGGUAUCUAUAAUUGACUUUUUGAAUUAGAAAAGUAGUCAAUAAGUUGGCCAUGUGCCACACAUGUUGUUAGCUUGAAGAUCAAGCUAACUAUGUGGCCCAUACAUAGAAAAACUUUCCUUGUAAGUCAAGGCAUGUGUCCUACAAAGUCAACACAUAUUGAAGGUCCUAUAGAAUAUUGCCACAUAGUUUCUAGUUAGAUAGUAUAUAUAGAGACAAGAGUGAAGCCUUCUUUUGUCUUAUCAACUUCAUUCUUGCUUCUAGUCUAGUUUCAAGAGUCUCAAGUUUCCUUAUUUUUUGGCAAUAAACUAUUCCAAUUUCUUUUUAAUAUACAUACUUCCUUAUUUCUAGUUUGUUAUUCUUUCUUUGACACUGAUUUCAUUGGUUUAUGCAUCAUCUUUUAAUUUAUGUCCUUUAUAAUAAGUUAAGAUAUGUGUCUUGUAAAGACAAUAUAUUUUAGAAGUUUUAUAAGACAUUGCCAUAUAGCUCCUAGUUAAGAAUAUAUAUGGAAGGUAGAGUGAAGCCUUCUUUACUAUUAUUAAUGCCAUUCUAGUCUUUAGUCUUAUUUUAAGACUUUUUAGUCUUCUCAUUUUUGGCAAUAGCCAUUCUAAUUUAAUAUUAUAUCAUCUUUGAGUGACUUUCAAGUUCUUUUCAGUGACUUAAGAGUGUAUUGAGGAUUUUCUUUUAUUAAAAUUUAUAUCCUUAACAGUUAUAAAAAGGCACAAUGUUAUCUCAAAUGAACUCUAAUUUGAAAAGAUAAUCCAAAAGCUAAGUAUAAUUUAUAGAUUAAUUCUUUUCUUAUUUUAGAAUUCAUUAAAUUUCUAAUUAUAGAGAUUCUAAUAAAUAGUAUAUAAAACCUCAAACCAAAUGUGAAUUUUUGCCUCCAAAAAUUCCAACAACUUCUAUUUCACAAAUUUUCUUUGACCUCUCUUAUCACAAAUCCAUUUCUUGUAUUCUAUAACUUAUUAAAAGCUAAAAAUAAGAUUUAGCUUUUUUUCCAAAUUUUAAUACAAAAAGAUAAAAAUUCAAUAAAAAAUAUAAGAAACUCCAAACUUGUCUUGAAUUUUGCUGCAUAAAAAUUCCAUUGAUCCUUCUUUUUACAAAUCUACUUAGAUCUUCCUUGUCUUAGUUCUUCUUCUUGCAUACUAAUACUUCUUUAGAAAGCUAAGAAUAAGAUCUAGCUUCUUUUCAAAUCUCAAUACAAAAAAAUAAAAAUUCUAUAAGUAGCAUAAAAAAUCUCAAAUUAAUCUUAAAAUAUCAGCAGCUCAAAAAUUCCAAUGACUUCCCUCCUAGAAAUCUACUUGGAUUUUCCUUAUUACAGCUCCAUUUCUUGCAUGCUUAAGGUUAUUGAAAAGUUAAUAAUAAGAUCUAAUUUUUUUUAUAAAUUUUAAUAUAAAAGAAUAGAAAUCUAAAAAAAAGCAUACAAAAUCCAAUUCAGCUUCAAAUCUUGUCACUUUUCCUAAAAUUCUAUCUUUCUAUCUAUGUCUCUCUCUCUCUCUCUCUCUCUCUCUCUUUCUCUCUCUAUAGCUAUAUAUAUAUAUAUAUAUACAUAUAUAUAUAUUUCUCUUUAUCUUCAAAAUAAAUCCACUUAAUGUCAAAAUCUUUACUCUUACCUUCUCUCAAUACUUGUGUUGAACCACUAUAGAAUUGGAUAUUUAUUUUAAAAGAUAAUACUUUCAAAGCUUGAAUAAUUCAUUCAAGCCAACAAUCUCUUAUUUUAAAUUCUAUUCAAAUUUGUAAAUAUAUUAGCAUUAUAUUCCUUCAUUCCUACAAGUAAAAUUAAUUAUUCUCCAAAAGACUUUGAUACACAUAAAUUAAGUACAUCAAGACACUUUCUCUUCUAAACCUAUAUAUACUUUGGUAUGUACCAAUGAAUUGAAUCACAUCACCUCCAUCAUCAAAAUCAAAGUCAUUGUAAACUAUAUCACUUUUAAAACAUGGAUCAAAAUAUUGAGAUUGAAAAGCCUCUAAAUCCUUCAUACAAUUCACUCUAGCUUGUUGCUUGAAGACAUUAAUUUAUUUGCUUAUAAUCUUAGUCUUCAAUAGUAUCUCAUCUAUUUUUUGAAGAGAAUAAGUUGUAUUAUAAUGUACUUUAAUGAUCACAUAGGGUCUAAACCAAUGCCAUGCAAACUUACAAAGAGUAGAAUUUUGAUGCAUCAAAUUACUAUCAUAAAUUAAAAUUUAAUCAUCUUUUUUAAUUAACUUAGGCCUCUAUCCACGAGUUUCAUCAAAUCUCUCUUUAUUGUUCAACCUUGUUGCUUUAAGCUUCUCCAUAGCAACUUGAUGAUCUUUAGGCAAUCUCUAUAGUUGGUGAAUUUGUGAGGAUAAAUUUCUCAUUCAUCUCAAAUUACAAGAUGGACUUUAUUAAAAAUUACUUGUAAUUGGUGGUAUAAAGUGGAAGAUGAAAUAAAUAAGAACAAAAGAAAGAACAAUACAAAAUAAGUGGAAUAAGUACAAUCAAACAAUUGCAUACAACAAAAGUAAUACAUAGUAUAUUCUUUGAAUUUUUUUUUAAUAAAAAAUAAUAAUACAUAUUAAAAAAUAUAUUUUUAGAUAGAUAAUUUUAUUAUCUUUUUAAUGACAUAAAAAAUAUAAAUCCAAAUUACUGCUAAUAAAUUAUAAAAGUUCAAAAAUAAGAAGUAAAUAAUUAAAAAAUUAAGUAAAAAUAAUUUAUCUCAAAAAUAACUUGCUUAUAGAUCAAGGAUUUGAAUCUCACCAAGGCUCACAUAUAGUAUAAAAUGGAUUUUUAAGAAAGGCCACAAGACCUUAGUCUUAUCUUCCUAACUCUAUUCAAGUUACUAUAAUGCAUAUGGAACUUGUGUAUCUCUCUUUUUACAAGGACUAGACUAGUUGCUGGUCCUAACUAGUAAAAUUCAUAGUUUGUCAUUUUUGACUUUACCAUAUUCUUUAAAAACAUCCAAAUAGCCUAAGUACCUUGUGUGGCCUUCAAUUCUUAUUCCAUUUAUUCAUAAUGGCUCCCAAGGUGGUAUAAUUCAAUUUUACCAAAGUCUUGAAAACUUCUUUAAAAAUUCCUAAAUAAUUCUAAAUAAAUUUUAAAUAAGACCUAAAAAAUCCUAUAAUAUUUUCAUAAUGCUAAUAUCCAUUUAAAGAUAUAUUUUCUUACCUUAAUAAUUUUUAUAAUAAUAAAAUUAAUUUAAAUCCACCAAAAAUCCUAUUUUUUAUAUAAUUAAUUAAAAAGACAUGAAGUUCUUUUUUAUGAUUUUUCUAACUACUAAUUAAUCAUUGAUAGGCUUUUUAUAAUUAAUACAUAUAGAUAGGAGUCUAAUAAAGAUAUUAUUCUCAAUAAAUAAUCUUUAAUACUUAAUAAUAAAUAAAAAUAUUAACCAAUUAAGAUAAUUACCUCCAAGACUUACUAAGUUUCUAUUUUUAUAUUUUUUCUUUUAGCAAGACUUUUAUAACUUAUAAAUACUUCUAAAUUCUAAUAAAUACUUAAAUAUUCAAAAAUAAUUUCUAAUCUUAAUAUUUAUAUUAUAAAAUAACUUAAAACUAAGUUUUUAACAAAUUCAUCAAUUAAAUUAUAUUGAUGGGACUUACAAAAUUCGAAGUUCCAACAAUCUCUCUUUAUCAAUGCCAUCCUUUCAAGACAAAAACAACCAUGAAAGAAUAGAUUCUUUUAUAAGCAUUAUGAGCUUUCGCUCUAAUAUCAAUUCUAUUGAUACAAAGCUAAUAAUUGUGCUAUGAGUAGUCCUAUCUACUUUUAAAACAAUUGACAAAAGUUUGGACCACAAUCUUGGUUGAUCCUUAUAUGCCUUAAUCAAAGCUUGAAUGAUUGGACAAUGCUCCUUUUUAUUCUUAUCAUUGGCUAUGGAACUAUAAGAGGUGGUCAAUUUUAAUUUCACUCUGUAUCUUAUGAAGAAAUUACAUGCCUUUGCCAUGUCAAGUUCACCUUAAUCUACUUUUAUUCUUUGAAUGCUCUCAUAGCAAUAUAUAAUAUCUUCCAAAACAAACCUAUAUACUAUCUUCAUAGACUUUGACACCAACGCCCUCUCUUUUACAUAAUUGAAGACUUCUUCUUUUAAUAAAAUUAAAUACUUUAUAUCUCAAAGUUCUAUUGGCAUGGCAAUCAAAUCAAUCACUAUGAGCUAAAAUAAACCUCUACUAAUUGAAAGUUUAUUCUAAUUCAUAAUAAAUGAAUUAACUAAAUGAAUUAAAUAUAAAGCUAUUAUUCAAAGUCAAAUUCACUUAUUACUUAUCCUUCUUAAAACAUCAAGUUAUUAAUCAAAUCCUCUAACAUUACUCACAUUUACAAUGAUAAUUCACUCCUUAAUUUCAUGCAAAAUAGUUCCUUCUUCUACUUCUAAUUAAACAAAUUGAUUUAAUUUUAUUAUUAUUAUUAUUAUCAUUAUUUUUAUUAGGUCUUUUUUACUACUUUUUAUUAUUUUAUUAUUUUAUCAUUUUUUUAAAAAAUGUAUAAAUUUUUACUUCAUAAUUAAUUGAUGGUAAAAGUAAUUAUUUAAGUUAUUAUCCUUAAUCCAUAGUAAUUAUAAUUUUUUUAAGGUUGGAUUAAAAAUUAAAAGUGAAAAUUUAAAAGUAAAGUUUAAAAAUUAAAAAUAAAGUAAAAAGAAGAAAUAAAGUAAAGGUUAAAAAAUAAAAAAAAAUAAAAAAUGAGAAUAUUAAAAGUUAAAAAUUAAAGCCAAAAAAGAAUGUAGAAGUUAAAAUUUACUGGAAAAAAUAACAUAAAAUAAAAUAAAAGAAAAAAUAAAUAAAGAGAGGUACAAGCUGAAGUAUCUUGACAACGCCAAAGAUUGAGGGAAGCACCCCCCUUUUCUCCAAAAUUCGCCAAAAAUCCAAAUUAGCUCCAAAUCUAGGGAUUUUUGUUGCGUUGGAAAUUUAACUUCAAUUAACUUUUAUUUCAAAAUUUUCGUGGCAAUAUAACACCUGAACUAUGAGAAAUGCUUCUUCAAAUUUCGGUCAUUGAUCCUACAACUGAAGCCGACCCCCUUUCACUCAAAACUUUUUUAAAAGUUCAUAAUUUCUUAAAAUUUAAUGAAAUUUAUGCAAAUGGAAGCUCAGCUUAAGGAUGCUUGUACUCUAAAAAUUUAAAAAUAAUCCCAUUAAUUGGUUCUGAGGAAUUCCUUUUCAAAGUUGGAUUAUUGAAACUGCCAAGGUAGCCGCCCCCUUGCACUCAAAAAUUCACCAAAAUUUUGGUUCAACUCCAAAUUGAAAAGGCUCGAGUUCGUUGGAAAGCUAAUAAUAAGAGCUAUGUUAUAAAAAAAUCUUCACUUACAAAUCAUAAAAAACCACAGACUGAUUGAGGAAAAUCCUAGGCCCUUCAAACCCAUUUGACUAUAAAAAUGGUUAGUGAUCACUAAUUACAUAGGAGCACCUUUUAAACCACAACAAGCACCACCCAAGACACAAAAUCAAUGCUCAUAUGUUCCUAAAGUUCACAAUGAGAUCUAAGAUGAAGAAAGAAGUAAAAAAUUAAGAUUAGGGUUGGGAUUGAAACCAUACUUUGGUAUGGCUUUGCCCUCAUCAAAAAGAAAAGAGAGAGAGAGGCUUGGGAAACCAAACCACUCUUGUACAAUUGAGUGGUGGCUUGUGGAAGGGCAGCCACAUCUUCACCCUUGACGUCUAAGAUCCCUAAUGUAGAUCUACGGCCUUCCUUCAUCCAAGAGCUAAUUUCGUGACCAAGGCUGAUGGCUCUUGUAAGUUGGAAAAAAAAACGCUUUUUGACAAAUCUAACUUAACCAUUGUGUUUAAAACACCUUUUAAUGUUAGGAUUGACUACUCACAUGCAUUAAUCUAUGCUCCUUUGCAACUUUUAUGAAGGUUUUUUUUACUUACAAGGAUUUAGGCAAUAUUUGUAAAAUUCUUCAAAAAAUGAGAAUUUCAUUUCUCUACUUGUACUUUGAAAGAAAGAAUGCUGAACUUGUUUUCUUCACUCCACAUGGUGUAUUUGAUGUCUCCAUUGCAUUUGAAGGCUUCUAUAAAUUUGAAGAAUCACUUUGCUCCUUGGAUUUGUUAAAUUUGGAAAAAAUCUUCAAACCCAUCAUAAUUAAACCUCAUUAGAUUUUUUUUUUUUCUCUUUUUUUUUUGACACCAAGACUACUUGUAAUUCUACUACUACUAGCUAAAUAGAAAAAUAUAGUCUUUAUAGUUUCUUCUUACUAAACUCUAUUUUAGAUUGCAUGUCCGCUACUAGCAAUCUAUUUUCUAUUUUUUCCUAAAAUUCUAAUAUUAACUCAUAAAAUUUAUAUUUAAAGCACAAUAAGCGUACUUUUUAUAUUAAAUAUCAAAGUAAGUGAAUUCAAUGGCUCAUAAUCAUCUAUUGGAAAUGAAUGGCAAGUGGAUAGAUAAGACAUAAACCAUCUCUAUACCUCAUAUUGAAUUGCAAUUGGCAUUCUUUAUAAGAGCUCACAAAUUCCUUCACAUCUUUGUUUAAAUCCUUCCACCAAUAGAAUUCCUUGAUCUUAGUAUAGAUAGUCCAAACUCCUCUAUGUCUAGCCUACAAUGUAUUGUGAAACUCACCUAAUACCUUAUGUUUGAUCUCCAAAUUAUCCACCACUCUCAAUGUCACACCAUCUCUCUUCUUUGGCCUCUUCUAUAAGAAUCUACCAUGUAAGAGAUAUUUGUAGGAUUAGUAUCUAAUAUUAUUAAAGGUCUUAUCUAAUCAAUCUACUUAACUCCUAAUUGUACUCAAAUACAAGCCAAUGUCUCUCAAAUUUUCUUCAUAUAAAUAAAUUUUGAAAGAUAUGACCUCAUCACCUUGAUUUCUUGUACUUCUAAAAAAUGCAAAAUUUUGGGCCAAGUCUCCAUUUUCUUCUUAUUCAAGAUUUUUUUUUUUUCCCUAGAGUACUUAGCCUUAAACAACAUAUUUGCCAUUGAAUUCUUUUUAUCCAUGACGUGCAUCAAAAUAAGAUUUAAAGAUUUAAUGAAAGUAAUCUAUUUAAGUAUAGCAAUAUCUAAUGUAGUAUAGUAGGAAAUCAUUCCAAGCAAAGGCAAGCAAUUAGUUUCCAACACCACAUAAGUACCUAUUAAGUAAUUUUUUUCUCAACCUUCAAUGCAAUUAGUUCAUCUCAAAGGUUUUUUUUUACUUGUAGAUAAGUACUUUGCCUUUUAGUGAAAAUCUUUAUUCCAAACCUAAUUAAAAAUAAAUUAUCUUUCUUUUUAUUUUAUCCAAUAGCCUAUUCAAUGGCUAUGGGACUUGUAUCAAUUGUUACUAUCAUUAAUCUUCUACAAAGAUGAAGGCAUAUAUCCUUCAUAAAUGUACGACAUCUAUUUUCUUUUAAAGUCAAAUUCUUACUUUCUUCUUUGUAAUCUUUAAUUGAAACAUUAUCUAAAAAAGAUAUGGUCUUUUUUAGCACAAACUCCUUUAAAAUUUGGUUCAUUAUAUUUUGCUUAUGAGUCAUUAAACUAGUUGCACCUUAUAGUAAGGUACACAUCUGUAUUAGAUUCAAAAGAAUCUUCAUAGAAAUUUGGUUCCUAUUUUCCUUUGCUUAUUCAAAUUGAUCAUAAUCCAAUUAUAAAUUUCUACUAGAAUAAAUAGCAUGUCUUAAAAAAAAAAUCUUACUUUAUCUACCACAGAUCUAGACUUUAUAUUACUAAUAAUUACCUUGUUGGCUAGUUGCAUAUCUUGAAUGAACCUAAGCGCCUCAAAUUGCUUUGGCAUAGUAAAUCAUUGAUUGGAAUAAGGUACAAUAGAUGAUUUAAAGAUGCCCAUCUUGGCCUUUUCCUUUAAUAAAUCUACCAACUUGAAAAGCAAAGUCUUUGGCAUGGAAAUAGGUUUUAUUUUGAUGUGCUCUUUGGUAUUUUGAAGUAGUUAAGUUGUUAUAGGCUUCACCUUCUUGACCAUGGUAUUAUACUUAGUGUACUCUAUAGCAUCUUGUAAUAUCACAUAACUAUCAAUUAUUCCAAGCUUCAUUGAAGAUUUCAAAACCUCCUCAUAUAUUUAUCUUGAGUGAAGCUCCACAACAACAUUAGUUCUACUUUUAUCCAUAUGCAAAGCCAAUUCCUUUGAAAUCUUUACAUAAUCAUCUUCAAGCAUUUUUUCUUUGAUAAUACAUGUAUGAGCUCUCAAUUAUACUCCAACCUUUAAAUUUUUGUUAUUUCCUUCUUUUAUGAUAAUUGAGCAUGUUAGAUUAGGAUUUAUAUAAGAGAAUUUAGUUUUAUAGAAUUUUUAGAAUUGUAACCUUUGAUGGUAUAAAUCAUAGCCUAAUUCCUUCGGUUAAGCUAAUUUGGACCAAAGUAAUAAGAAUUAAAAAAUUAGAGUAGCAAUUUAAUUAGUUUUAAUAAUUUAGAAGUUAUUUUUAAUUACUAUGAGGAUUAAAUAAGAGCCUAUGAAUUCACCUAGAAUCAUUUCAUAUUAUUUAGAGUGAACUAGAAUUAGAAUGUUUUAAAAGAUCUAGUGAAAUUUAAUAAUAAAAAAUUUGAAGAUUUUCUCCAAAUUCAAUAAAUUCAAGUAGUGAAGUAGUUCUUCUAAUUAAUAGAAGCCGUUCAAAUGCAAUGACAACAUUGGAUUUACCUUGUGAAGUAAAGAAAACAAGAUUAGUACCCUCUCCUUCAAAAUACAAGUGGAGUAAUGAAAUUCUCAUUUUUGAAGAAUUUUACAAGAAUUAUCAAAAUCCUUCUAGGUAAAAACCUUCAUAAAAUUAUAAAGAAGCAUAGAAUGAGGUAUGUGAGUAGUUGAUCUUAGCAUAAAAAGAUUUUUUGAACACAAUGGUGAAGUUAGAUUUACCAAAAAAUACUUUUUUGACCACUUAUAAGAAUUAUCAGCUUUGAUAACGAAAUUAGCUUUUCGAUGUAUAAAGGCCAUAGAUCUACAUUAGGGAUCUUAAAAAUCAAGGGUGGAGGUGUGGCCGCCCUUCCACAAGCCACCACUAAAUUAUAUAAGAAUGGCUUGGUUUUCCAAGCCCUCUCUCUCUCCUCUUUGGUGAAAAGCGAAGCCAUGCUAAAUUCUAGCCUUAAAUUCUAAUCUUAAUUUUAUUUUUUUAGUGUCAAUGUGAAAUUUUUUUUAUGUAUCUUUUGGUGCUAGCUUUCUAAUAAGAUAAGAUUUGUUUGAUUCGGAAAAAGAACGAAUUAUUGGAGAAAUUUUGAGUACGAGGGAAUCACUUGCCUUGGCAAUUUAGAUCAAUCCGUUUUGAAAAGAUAUUUCUCAAUUCUUCAUUAUUAUAUUAUGUUGAAUUUUCGGAAAUAAGUGUAUCUUUAAGCUGAGCUUCUAAUGGCUCAAAUUACUUUAAAUUUGAAGACAAAUUGAAUUUUUGAUGAAUUUCCAAGUGGAAGGAGGUUGCUUGCUACUACAGUCUUGGUCACUCAACUUUCAAGGAGCCUUUCUCGCAAUUCAGAUACUGGAUUGAAUUGAAAUUUAUUAGAGAAGUGGCACCUUUAAGUGAAACUUGCAACAAACUAAAAAUCAUUCACUUUGGAGAUAAUUACAAUCUUUGAAAAACUUUGGAGUGGAAGGAGAUUUGCUGCCUUUAAUUCUUAGGCAUUAUCAAGAUACCUUUGCUUUUAUCUCUCUUUAGUUCUAUUUUUAUUUUUAUUCUUUCACUAACUCAUAACUUUUAUAUUUUUAUUUUUUCUUUUAAUUUUUAAUCUUUAACACUUAACCUUUAAUUUCUUCUCUUUUACUUUUAAAUUUUAUUUUUAACUUAACCUUUAAGAUUUUAUUUUUAUUAUAAAUUAAUGGUAAUAACUUGAUUAAUAAUUUUUACCAUAAAUUAUUUAAGAAAUAAUUGUUUAUAAGUCUCAAAUAAUUAAAUAAUUAUUUAUUAUAAUUAAUUAUAAUUUUAUUAUUACAUAAAACUUAAUAAUUAAAUAAGAACCAUAUAAAUAAUUUAAAAAAAAAUCAAUAAAAUUUAAAUAGAGAUCAUAUAAAUAGCCUUAAAAGACCAUAGUAAAUUUUAUUAAAUCUUUUUAUUAAUAUUGGUAACUAUUGCUUGGAGGACUUAAAAUUAAUUAAAUUACAAAUACCAAGAUUUAAAUUAACUUAGCAAUUACUUAAUUAAAAAUUCUUCCAUUCCACCUCCUAAAUCUGUUGUAUAGCAUUAAUAUCAUUGAGUGGUGAAAUUUGGGCUCAUAACUUGAAAUACACUCACCACUUAAAAUCACAUCUAAUUAUAGAUAUAUAUAUAUAUAUAUAUAUAUAUAUAUAUUUCUUUAUCCAAUACUUAUAUAUAUGACCUAAAUUUUUUAUCUUUUGAAAUCUCAAAAUUCUCAAAGUUGUCAAAUCCAAAAAUCCACACUCAAAGCUAUUCACAUUUGAAAGUAUAUGUAUAAAGGAUUUACCUACGCCCUUCUAUCUUCUUACUAUAAGAAUGUUCCUUAAUAAUCCAAAAAUUCUUCAUUGGUCCUCAAAAGAGCUUCUUUUAAUUGGUUUCUAUUUUGUUCAUUAUCUCAUUUCAUCUUGAAGAAUUGCAUCAACCUUUUUUCAUUAUAGUUUCUAAUCCUUGCAUAGUGAAAGCCAUCAUUUAAAACCUUUGUUUCCAUCCUUGUAGCCAUGAUAUAAAGUUGCCAUAAAAUCAUUGGAUAAGUAGUAGACUUUUGCACAAAGAAAUUUUAUUCUACCCCCAUAUUUCUAAUCCUUGUCCUAAUUCUUAGACAUCUCCUAUAUAAAUUACCUCACUUAUUGUUGGCGGCUCUAAAUACCCAUCUAUAGUUAAUAUCAAUGGGCUACUUGUCUAUCUCAUAAAUCCUCCUUGACAUGAUUUUGAUCUCUGAUCCAUGAUCAAUAAGUAUCAAAGUAUGCUUUUUGAAGUCUCAUAGCUUCACUUGAGCCUCUAUAGUAGUCCUAGUCCAAAAAAAAUGUGUAAAUUAAGCAUUCAUCAUCUCACCCUCAAAUUUCUUGUCAAAAGCACAAUUAAAUACAUUUAUCUCACUUAUGAUGAUUCUAUUUUCUAUCUCUUUACUACUUCUUGUCUUUUUUUGAUCUUCUCCUCUACCAUGGCCUUGAAUAGCUACAUCUUUUUUUAUUUUAAGUGGCAUCUCCUCAAAUCUAAAUACACAAAGUCAAAAAAAAGACCUACCUUAUCUUUUGGUUCUCUUCUUUAGCUAAAUAAGAAUCCAAUGCCUUCACCAUAACCACCUCCAUUGUCAUUUGCUUCUUUUUUUUUAAUGAAAUCAAUAAUAAGCCCAUAGAAGUCUAUUUUUGCUAUGCUAAGUACUUUCUACGAAGUAAAUUCAAUUUUUUCAUCAAAAAUAUUUUCUUCCAAAAUUUCCCUCAUAUUAAUAGAACUUUCAAUAUCCAAUUAAAAAUUUUAAGAAGGACCCUUAUCGUUAGGCUUGUUUGAGUUUUUUUUUUUUUUUUUUUAAUCCUUUAUUCUAUUUUUUGAGCUCUAACUCCACUCCUUGAUUGAAAUGGAGGCAUUAGUUGAGCUUGUCGAUAAGAAGGUCCUUCUCUUUGUUGAUUAGAUUCUAUAAACUUUAAUGGCCACUUUUUGUUGGAAAACUCUUUCACAUGUUCUUGAGAGGAUCUAAUCUUUUUUAUUUCUACAAUGAUAUCUUAAUCCUCUAAAUCUUUAUUGCCAUUUAAAAAGGCUUAGAUGCUAAUAGCAUUAACUAGAUUAUUUCAAUUUAUUGCUCUCCUAAUAGAUUCUGCUACUAUCAUGUUGUGGUUUGGCUACCAUAUGAAAAUAAUGUAAUUAUGUACUUAAUAUAUAAUUUAUUAAGUAACAUGAUAAUAGCCAUGUUAAUAGAUUUUAGUUGGUUGUAGAAUAUAAUUUGAUUAUUACCUUAAGAAGAGGUUGUUUAAAAAGAUUAGUAUAGAAUUUAUAUAACUUUAAUUUCCUUUUUGAUAGUGGGUUUUAAGAUUGGUUUUGGUCGAUAAUAACUUCUUAAUAUUUAGGAUCAUCUUAAUUAGACAUUGGUGACCUUUGAAAACUUAUUUUGGUUCUUUAAUUUAGUGUUUAGAGUAUAAAUUAUAUAAAUCUUAUAAGAAAAAUAGUUGAAGAAGAGUUUUAGUAGCAAAGAGAGUAAUUAGGGAACCAAUAUAGAUGAAUGGAGAUGGAUGAUAAAAAUCUCCAUUCCUAUUCGUCAAAAAUCAUGACCAAUAGGCUUUGAGGAGGUUGCUUGAAGCCAUAUUAGAGAUUAGGGUUAGUUUUUCGAGAUCAUUCGAACUUUGAAGGCUAGGGUCAGUAAUUUUAGGUUUUUGACUAUGGUUUUGGUACAAAUUUUGUAUGGUUUGGAGUUUAUAUGAAGGAGAUAUAGGCACUCAAGGUUAAGGUGUUGAUUUGAGAGCUACUGUUACUCUAUUUGGCAUAACACAUGUGUACAAAGAGCAAUUGAAGAUCGGCAAUUGUGACUAAAGAAAAUACUUUUGCGGCUAAAUAUUUUGUAAAUUUCUUGCUGGAUUCCAAGUUGAAGUGAAGGAGUCAUUGGAUUUUGAAGUCAGCACAUGCAAUCUAAUGGUAGUAAGUAAACUGAUUUACUAGUGGUUGUACCUUGAGCUAUAUCUUAAGCAAUUUUUAUAAGGUUUUAGCUCAAAAUUUUAGGGAAUAUUUAUAUUCAUGUUAGUAAAAUUUAUACGAAAUUUUAAUAAUAUUUGAGUAUUGGAUUCUUGAGAUAUUAAGAAAAUAGUGCUUAGGUGCUUGUAAAUUAGGAUUUAGAGCAUCUACUAGAGUUUCUUAGAUGCCAAAAGAUCAAAAGUGCAUUUACAAUUGGUUUUUUUUUGUGGUAAAAGUUAAAGGUGAAUUCUACCUAUUCCAUAAAUUUGAGACAAAUUAAAUAGAUAGAUGAAGAGUUAUGAAUUUCUAAAACUCAAGAAGAGUAAAUCCUUCACGAAAAAAAUAUAUUUUGAAGGAAUUUUGUUAUAUUUUGAGUUUUAUGAAAAUUAAAGGAGUUUUGGAAGCUAAGACAAGAUUCAUAUAAAGGUUUAAGCUAAACUCUCUACAGCUAGAUACUCAGUGUAUUUCUAGAUAGCAAAUCAUACUAUACGAUAGUACUCUAACCAUAGUCUCUCUUGAUGGCCUUAAAAUAGCUACCAUGUCCCUGAUUUCUACUUCAAUGAAAUAAAAGUAGGCCUCUUUCACAUGCAAUCCACUUAUUCUCUCUAUAAAGUCCACUACAAGCUCCUUCAUAUCUCUUCUUUUAAGAUAGAGCUCCAAAGGUUGCUUCAUAGUAUGAGAUCUCACUCUACUUUUUGGGAUGAUAAUUUCUUAUUUUAAGUCUUCAUUAUAAUUGGAACAAUCUUUCUUUUUAUAUUUGGACUUAUCACAAUAUAUGCAUCUCAUAAUAAAUCUCUUUGAUUCCUCUAAUGCAUGCAAAGAUGUAAUUAUUUGGCUCUUCUUAAACUCACUCAUUUUUACUCUCAAUUCUCUCAUAUCUUUAAUCAACUCUUCAAAGAUGUCUUUGAAAAGAAUCUUACAUGUUUUUUUAAAUUGGAAUAGAUGUCACCAUGCUUAAUGGAAUACUUGACAUCAUGGAUAGUAGAACUUAAUGCCUCAAAGUUCGUCCUCUUACCUUAAUCUAUCAUUACUUAAUUACUAAUAGCACCACAUCCUCUACUUUCCUCUAAUCAUUAAUUAAACUUCUUUUGAUGGACUUAUUAAUGAAGAUUAAAAAAAUAUAUAUAUAUCCUCUAGUGCUUCAUCUCCAUCUUCUAAGAAAAGCUUAAUCUUCCUUGUAUUCAAUAAAAGUCUCUUUGAAGAUGAAAGUUGAGAAUUUUUUUUAUUUUUCAAACUAUAGCUUCAUAAUUUAAAGUUAAAUCUAUUAUUUUUUUACAAAAAUAUAUAUUUCUUUAUUAUAUUUAUAGAAUAGAAAUCUUUAAAUCUUUAUAUAUUUAUAAAUCUAUUAUUAAUUAAGUUUAAAAAUCUAAAAAUUAUAUUUUUUAUAUUAGAAUUUAUAAAUAAUUCAUUUGUAGUUAUGUAUUUCCAUCCUAAAAAGAUGCUUUCUAGAAAUCUACAAAAAAAAAAAAUUAGCUCCAAAGGCAUUCUUCUUAAUUAUUUUCUAUGCUUUUCAUCAAUAUAUUUUAUAAUAAUAAUUGUAGAGCUUUUCUUCUAUUUUAAUUAUAAAUCCUUACAUAAUGUGAACCAUCAUCCAAGUCUCUAAUCUCUAUUCUAGUACUUAUAAUAUAUUAAAAAUAAAACUCAAAUUAUAGAGGUUAGAUACCAUAAAUGAAGAAUUCAUAUCUUUGGAUUAUAGUGUACAAAUUGUAGUCAAAUAAACUACACUAUCUAAUUUUGUCUAUGAUUUUUACAACAAACACCUAUAUAACAGAAUCAAUUCCAACCUUAUAGACCUCUUCACCAUUUAAGACAAAUAGGUCUUAGUUUUUCUUUCAAUCAAAAGAAUAAUAUUACACCUUGUCCUAUUUGUAAAAAACUAUAUUGAAUAGGCUACUAUUGGAUUGAAAAUGGAAUUAUAUGCUCAAAUUUUAGAGGAUCUCAUCCUACAAAUUAUUAUAGAAGACCUGAUAAGGUCAUUCCUUUAACUUUUCUUUCAAAAGAUUAUAGCAAUUAAGCUAGAAGAAAUACACAAAGAGUUAGAUUUACAGAUUCUAUUGUUACAAAUGGUUUAUCAAAUCUAUAUUAUGAUCAUUUAAAUAAUAGUAAAAUUCAUCAAUCUCUAAUAACAAUCAAAAUCAAUCAAGGAUUGAUGCAAAAUUCUUUAUCAUAUAAGCAAAAUCAAAAUCAACAACUACCAUCUUCUCAAGAUAUUAGGUAUAUAGUAGCUCAAAUUGAUAUGCUUACUACACCAAAUCUAUCACUUCUUCAAUCCAACUUGGUAUAAUUAGAUAGAAAGAAGGUCUCUUUAAACAAUAGUUAUUCACUUUCUUUGGUUGUAAUAAGAAGUAUGAGUGCCAAAAAAUCAAUAGAUUUAGCACACCUCAAAGAAGAUGAAAUAUCUUUGGAUAUUUCAAAAGAAUCACUUAAGUUUGUAAAAUUGACAAAAACUACUUAAGAGAUAACUAAAAAAUUAGAACAAGGAUUUUUAAGCCCUACUUUACUUUUGGAUUCUUUGACAAUUGCACAACAACCAUAAUUUUUAGCCAUUUUAAACUCCAAGUUUUGGUUCGAAUAGAGAAAACACCAUUAAAUACAAAAGUUAAUCAAAUUAGUUUUAUUCAAUCCAAUUCAAUUCUAUCUAUUGCACCAAUAAAAUAUAUUGGUCUUAGAUUAUAUAAAUAUGAAGAUGAUGAGAAUUUUACAAAAUUACUGGAAGAAAAUCCUUAUAAAGAAGAAGAUAUCCACAUUCAAUUUAAAGAAGUAAUUAAUUGAUUAGAACUUAAAGAUGACUGUCUAGACCUAGCAACCUUAAUUAAUGAUAUUUAUAUAAAAAAUCUUUUAGCUUGAAAAUUGAUGGAAUACAAGUAGAUGAUUUAGAUACUAUUAUAAAAGAAAAAACCAUCAUACUUCUUUUCUUACAAUUCAAAUAUACUUCUCAAGACAUUGAAGCUGGAUAUGAUAUAUUGACUUACUCAUCAAUACUUAAAGAUUGGUACCAUGGACCUACUAAUCCUAUAUAUAUGAUAAAAUAAAUUUGGAUAAAAAUUUUAAUCAAUCAUAAAAACGAAUUCAAAUAUGUCAAGUUUGGAUCUCAAUUAGAUGAAGAAGAUCUUGAGAAAUAUAAAGCUUUAAUAAUAGAAUAACAUAAUAUCUUUACAUGGUCUUAUAAAGACUUAAAAGAUAUUUCUCUUAACAUUUGUCAACACACUAUCCCACUUCUUUUAAAUGCAAAAUUGGUUAAACAAAAAUAUAAAAGAUUCAAUCCUAGGAUGUAAUUUAUUUUAAAAAUAGAAUUAAAAAGGUUACUUCAAACAAGAUUUAUAAAGUCUAUAGAAAUUAUGGAUUGAUUGUCAUAUAUUGUCUUCAUACAAAAAAAAAAUUAAAAAAAUAAGCUCAAGGUGUUUAUGGAUUAUUGAAAUUCAAAUAAGUACACUUAAAAAGAUCAUUUUCCAUUAUCUUUUAUUACUUCUAUAGUAGAUGAUGUGACAAGUCAUGACCUCUAUAGUUUUAUGGAUGGCUACUUGUGAGUACAAUUCAUAAUUCUAAUAGUUAAUCAUAAUUACUAUUAUAAUUUUUAAUAUAUUUUUACUAAUUUUAAUACUAAAAUAAUUAAUUUAUAGAUCCAAAUUAGUUUUUUUAGUUAAUUAUGAUUUAAUUUAUAGUUUUAGGUUUUUAAUUAGAUAGAUACUUUUAACUAUUAGAUUGAGUGAUUGUUAAAAACUCUAAAAUAGUAAGUUUAGAAGGUCUAUGAUUUAUUUUUAUUGAUUUGGUUUAAAUCCUCUUUUUUUAUUAAAAUUAAGAUUUUAAUAGAAUUUUUCUUUUAAAUCCUAGAUAUUAUAUCUUCAACUAAUUCACAAUCUUAGUUAUCAACUCCAAGGCUAAUUUAUAAUUUGAAAAUGGUUAGAAAAUCUCUUAAGUCUAAUUUUUCAAUCUUCCUAUUUAAUUUUUAAGAUUUUUUAAGAUUAAAUUUCAUACCACAAUUUAAAUGGAUUAAAAACAUAAAGUCUAAUUGUUAAAAUAAUGAUGAUUUCUAGAAAAUAGAGAUGAGCUAAUUUUUAUGGUGGAUUUUCCUUUCAUAGUUAUUUUUAUCACUAUUUGGAGUUGAAGAAUGGAGAAAAAAAUAAAUAAAUCAAAAAAUCAAAAGUAUAUCAAUUCAAGGCCAAAUUGAAAUUAGGGGUUGUAAUUGGCUAAGAGUUUGUACUUAAGGGAGUUUAAAUUGAAGAAUGGUGAUCAUGAAGGCUUUGAUGGAAAGAAUCCUUACUGAUCUCUUAAUUAGGAUAAUUAGAAUUAGAAUUCUAGUUAAAAUUGAUAACUAGAUUAGCAAAUUAAUUAGUUUUAAUGAUUUAGAGCUUAGAUUUGGACUUGUGAAUAAUCGAUCUUGGAAUAAAAAUGUGUUUUGGACAUAGUGGUGGAAUUAAUUUUGCCAAAAAGGCCUUAUUUUUUGAGAUAUAGGCAUUUCUAGACCUGAAAUCAGAUUUAGGCUUAAGAUCACUAUGGACCCUUGAACUUGGUUAGGGAUUUUUGAUCUAGAUGGUGGAAAUGUGUUCGCCACUUUUGGGCCUCCUGCUAAUUGGUUAAGAGCUCUUAGGUGGAUGAGCUCUCUUUCUCUCUCUCCAUUUUUUUUCUUAUGACGAAGCUAUGGCAAAAAUAUUUCUCUAUUUUGUGAAUGCAAAUCUUAUCCCUUGAUCUUGUAUUGCCUCGAUUUUUUUUCUCAAUCUAUCUAUUUUAGUUUUCUUCUUAUGAAAUUUUGUAGGGAAAUUCUACUCACUCUUAGCUUUGUAAUGGCAUAAGAUACACUUGAUUUGGAGGUAUGACGGAUUUUUAGAAAUUGUUUUAACUGGUGGGGGUCUACUACCCUCGGCAACAUAAAAGCAUUGAGUUCAAAAAUCCAUAACCUAGUGAUUCUUACCUCAAAUUUGACAUGAAUUAUUAAAAUGAGUGUUCUUUGAAGUCUUCUUUCUUAUAAAGUUUGAAUCACUAACUUUCGAGCUAUAAUAAAUUUGUAAUGAACUAUUAAGUGAGAAGAGUUUUGUUGCCUUGGCAAUUAGAACAAUUGUCUUUGAAAAAUCAUACCUCAAUAUUUACUUAUGUCUUUGUACUGAAUUUUAUUGAAAAAGAAGUACUAUAAAAUAUAGUUUUAGGAAAAAAUAGAGUUGUGAACUUUGAAUGAAUAACCAAUCUCUAGUAAACUUUUAAUUAAAAAGGGGUCUGCUACUUAGCCAAUUCAAGUUCUAUUAUUUUGAAAAGUCAUAUCUCAAUCGUUAAGCAUUGGAUCACCAAAAAAUUUAGAAGAUAGAAACAAUCCUAAGUCGAUUUCAAGUACAAAAUUUUAAAGUAUAUAAGAACUAUGGAAGAAUUUUGGUGAAUUUUUAAACAACAAGGGAUCUGUUACCUCAACUCUACAUACUCUAAGUAAGUUUUUCUUUCCUAAUCACCUACUAAUCACAUUGUUUAGCACCUAAAUUAUUAUAUUAUCAUUUAUUCAUCUUAUUAUCAUUAAUUAUUAUUAUUUAAUAAUUUUAAAGAAUUUUUUACUUCACUCUAGAAAUUAAUCUUAAAUUCCUAUCUUUCCAUCCAUUUUCAUCUUUUAAGGAUUAAAAAAAUAUAAAAAAAUAUAAAAAUUAAUCUGAUCUUUUAAUUUUCUCUUUUCUUUUUAAUCUUAAUCUUUCUACUUUUACUUUUAAUCUUCAAUUUUUCUUCCAUUACUUUUAAAAUUUUCACUUAACUUUUAGUUAUUAAUCUUAAUUUUAUUUUUUUUUUAUUUUAAUUUUUAAUUUUGUAAUCUUCCAACUUUUAUUUUUAUCUUAAAAAUCUUAAUUUCAUUUUAGUGCUGAAUUUAAAUAUUUAGUGCUAUUUAAUACAAGAUUUUUAAUUUUGGAUGAAGUCUGAUUAUCAAAAUUUUAUCCAUGGAUAACUUCCUAUAUAUAUAUCUCUAGUUUACAUGGUUUAAUAUCUUUAUAAAAAGUCCUAGAUUAAUACUUUAGUGUGGUGUUAAUUUUUUUUUCCUCUAUUUCUUUAAUACUUAUUCGUAAUUUUUAGAGUUUAAGUUUGAUGGAAUAAGUCUUGAAAGAUACUUAACUAAAUGAACUACAAACGCUAAAAAUUAAAUCAUAAAAAUGUGUAACUAACUUAUUUGUAUUGCUAGAUUAAUUUUGAUUAUUAUAUCAUUUUAUUUUUUCUAUCUUAUAUAUGAUUUGCAUCUCCACAUCAAUUAAUAUUGGAUUCUAAUCUAAGUUUUAAUCUUAUUAAAUCAAAUUUAAGUAAGGGGAGAAAAAACCACUCAUACUACUCUAGUUACAAUUAAGUAUCAAUAUCUCCUGAAGAUUGGCAUAAGAUUGCAUUUACAUCACUUUGGAGAACCUUUGUAUAUAAAAUAAUGUCUUUUAGCUUAUGUAAUGCUCCUUCAACUUUUCAAAGAGUCAUGACAUAUGUAUUCUCAGAUCUUCUUCAAAAAACUACAUCAAUUUUUAUUGAUGAAUUUAGUUGUCAUCUUUAGAAAAUGAUCACCUUAAAAGUCUUCAAUUAUAUUUCCAACAUUAUAAAAGAGAAGGAAUUUUUUUCAACUUGGAGAAGGUUUAUUUGGCAAUUAAAAAAAGAAUUUUAUUAGAUUAUGUCAUUUUUGAGAAAGAAAAAGAACUUGAUCCUGAAAAAGUAGAAGUUAUUGCAAAUCUACCUCCUCCAAAUGGAAUAAAAGACAUUCAAAAGAUUUUACGACAUAUGGGUUGGUAUUGUAAUUUGAUUAAAUAAUAUUCUACUCAUGCCUCUCUUUUGACUAAUUAUUUGAAGAAAAUCACUAAAUUUAAAUAAAAUUUUAAAUAUCAAGCAGAUUUUGAUACAAUUAAAGCUAAAUUACUUUGAUACUCUUAUUUACUACCACCUAAUUGGGAUCAACCUUUCUAUGUCUAUUGUGACGCCUUUGAAUUGACAAUAGGUAGUGCCUUAUGUCAACCAAAUGAUAAGGGUGUGACUCAUCCUAUUGCUUUUGCUAGAAAAAAAUUAACAAGUGCUGAGCAUAGCUAUACAACUACGGAAUGAGAAUAUUUGGCUAUGGUCUUUAGUGUCAAAAAAUUCUGCCAUUAUCUUUUGAUGAAUGAAGUUAUUUUCUUUAUAGAUCACAUGGCUCUUAGAUAUAUUGUGAACAAAUCAAAUUUAAGUAGUAAUAGAUUAGCAAGUUAGAUAUUACUUUAAUCAAAAUUUGAUUAUACAAUACAAUAUAAAUUGAGAAAAGAAUACAAACAAGGUGAUCACCUUUCACAAUUAUCUACAACUACAAGAACCCAAGAUAUAGAUGAUGAAUUUUUUGAUACUUAAUUAUUACAUAUUAUGUUGGCACCUACAUGGUAUGAAUAUAUUGCUGAAUUUUUGAGUAUUCAACAACUAUCCAAAACCUUAUAAAAAAAUGAAUGAGAAAAGAUUAGAGUAAAUAGUACCCGUUUAACUCUUAUAGCUAAGAAAUUAUAUUGUGGAAGGAUUGAUGGAAUUUUAAGACGUUGUCUUACUUAUGAAGAAGUACUAUUAGUAUUAGAAGCUCGUUAUUUAAAUGCUUGUAGUGGAUACUUUUUUGAUCAAUUAAUAGCUUAAAAAAUCCUUAAAAUAAGCUAUUUUUGAUCUAAAAUAUUUGUCAAUUCAAAGUCUUUUGUAAGAUCUUGUAAUGCUUGCCAAAAAUAUACAUACAAUGAUUUAAAUCUUAUAAUGCCUUUAAAUUUGUUACUUCUACUUAUUCCAUUUGAAAAAUAGAAUAUAGACUAUAUUGGACCUAUCUAUCUUAUUUCUUCACAUAAAAUAUAAUAUAUUAUUAUAGCUAUAGAAUAUUUGACCAAAUGGACAAAAGUAAAAGCUGUGAAGAAGAUAGAUGCUACAAAAGUUGUUAUCUUUUUGUAUGAGAAUAUCAUAGCUUGUUUUGAUUGUUCAAAAAUUCUUAGGAGUGACAAUAGUAUUUAUUUUUUAAAUGAGGCUAUCAAAGAAAUGACCAUAUUGUUUACCAUCAAUCAUAAAAAGACUAUUCUUUAUCAUCCUCAAACAAAUGGUCUUAUAGAAAGAGUCAACCAAACCUUAGUUUGGAUAUUAAAGAAAACUAUGAUGGAUUCUAAGCGUGAUUGGGAUCUUAAACUUAUUUCAAUACUUUGGGCUUAUUGAACUAUUUAUAAGGUUUCUAUAAGAGCUACACCUUUUUCUUUGAUAUAUGGAAUAGAAGUCAUUUUGCCUAUAAAAUUUGAAGUCCCAUCUUUACAUAUUACUAUUGAUCAAAGAUUAGAUACUUCUCAAUCUUUGAAAGAAUGAUUAGAAUAUUUAAAAAGACUUAGUGAGAUUCAAAGAUUUGUAGCUCAAUACAUAAAAACUAUUUAAAAAAGAAAGAAGGAGAUCUUUGAUAAAAUAAAAAUUAAAAAAAAACGUCUUUUUAUCCUAAGGAUAUUAGUGAUGGUUUAAGAUGCUAGAAAAUUAGAAUUUUUAGCCAAAUUUGAUGCACUUUAGACUGGACCUUACAUUAUCAAAGAAAUCUUUGAUAAUAAUUCAAUCCAAUUCAAAACAUUAAAUGGAAAAGACUUUCUUACAGAAACUAAAGGAAGUUAUUGUAAAGAAUAUAAAGAGUAAUGAAGAGUAUAAUUGUAUAGUUCUUAGUAAUUUUCUUCUUAUAUUUUACUUCUAUUAGUUAGUGGUGUCUAUUUCUAUAUCUUUUAUAGUUUUUAUUUUUUCCAUGGACCAUUGUUGUAUGGCAUGAGUUUCUAUUUGAAAAUAUAUUGAGUACCUAGCUCAAGAGAAUUUAGCUUUAAUUUAUUGCCUAUAAUAAGUGAUUUAUUUUUAUUAUAGAGAAAAAAAAUAUAAUAGUAUUAAUAGAUAUUUUAUUAAUAAAAUCUUUUUAUAUUUAAGAAGCUUUAUACAUAAGGCUUUUUAAAGCAUCUAAAAAUGGUCUAACAUCCUUUAUUAUAUCAAAUCAUAAGUAAUUAUUUGCCAAUAAGUUUGAUUUUUUGUAAGUUCAAAGAAAACCUACAAUCUUCUUACAAAUAUCCAUCUUUAUAUCAUAAUUUUGCCAUAGCUCCAUAUCUCCAUCUUUAACAUAUAUAUAAAUUCUUGUCUCUAAAAAAUCCUCUUAUUUUACAUAAAAUAUUCAAAUUAUAGUAAAAUCCUUUUAAACUAUUUUUCUCUUGAAAGAGAUUUUUUUUCUCCAAACUUUAGAAAUUCAUAUCUCUUGAUCCAACAAUUCAAUUUUUCUUAAAUUCUUACAUAAUGUAGACUUUAUCUUUAAGCUUUAUCAAAAAAAAAAACUAUAAAUCUACUACAAACUAUUUGGUAUCUUAGAAAUCCUAGCAAAUGCUUUAAACCUUAAUUUACAAGCAUUCAAAUAUUACUUACUCUAUAUUUCAAAAUCUAAACUUCAAAUGCUACAAAAUUUGAAUUCAAAUUUUAUUAAUAUAAUAAUACAUAUUUUUGGAAUUUUUUUAUCUAAAUUGCUCAAGAUUAUUGAAAUCAGCAAGUACUUGCUUAUUUAAAACCACAUAGAGAUUAAGCAUAGUAUGUUGUUAAUAGUCAAAAGGCAUGAAAGAAUUAAAAAAAAGUUACUAUGUAGGACUUAGGGUUUGUACGUGAUUGCUAGAUUAAAAAAGAACUUAAGAUUUAGUUGGAUGAAGUAAAAAUGGCUGUAAUAUCAAAAAGAUGGAAGUUUCUUCAUUAGUUAGCAACCACCACCUAUAAGUAAAGGGUGUUGGAAGUAAGAGUCAUCUUUCUCUACACUUCUCUUUAUAUGCAAGCCUUGCUGAUGCUAAGUAUUUGUAGCUUUUAGACUUCUUUUCUUCAAUAGGUUAUGGGGCCAUACAUAUUUGCUUGAGUGUUUUGAAGUUUUUUGAAGUGGUUGUUGAUAUGUGGAAUAGAUCAAGUUGUUGUUGCUGAUGUUAGGAUUUAGAAGUACCUAACUUUCAAAUUCAAAUCUAGAUCUAGAUCUUAGUUUGCUUUUACUUGUGGUUAGGAGCAUUUUGGUGUUGGUGUUUGGUUUUUCACCUUAAGGCUAAGUUAUAGAACAAUUUCAUUGUCUUUUUGCUGAAAUAGAUCCUUGGUGGUGUAACUUUGUAGUUUCAUGUCCUAAAGAUGCUAAUUAUGCUUAAAAGGCCACUUAUGGUAUAAAAGUGAUUUGUGAGCAUAAGAGUGAUAUUUGGGUGGCAAAUCAGAUUUGAGACAUUUAGAUAGGUCAUUAGACUUAAGAGAAAUCUUAGAAGUGAAGUUGAGAGUAUUUUUGAGAGUAAGAACACUAGUUUGUUUACAAAGAAGGAUUCUGUGAUUCUAAGGUAGCAAUACUUUCUUGCUGAUUUUGAGAGCAUUAGGACUUCUUUUUUCAAUAUUUUUUGAUACAUCUCUCUCUUUGACAUGGAUUCAAGUGACGGUGAAGGAUUGAAAGUAAUUGAAAAGUUCAAAGGUGAUAAUUUCUACCAUUGGAAGAUAAAAAUAGAACUUUUAUUGGUAUCUUUGGAUCUUUGGAAUAUUGUAGAUGAAAGUGAAGAGGCUCCAAGCAUAGAUGCUGAUAUGAAGGAAAAGAAGGAGUUCAAGCAUCAUGAAAAGAAGGCUUUUUGAUUGAUUGUAAUUAAUGUGGAUGAAGCUAACUUCUCCCACAUUAUUUCUUAUAAAGAACCAACGGAAGCAUAUAAGACUCUUUGCAACAUCUAUGACAUCAAGAACUUAUCCAACAUCAUCUAUAUAAGGAGGAAGUUCUUCACUUGCAAGAUGGAAGAAGGUGAAGACCUCAAGGCCCAUGUCAAUAAGAUAAAGGCUCUUGCAAAUCAAUUAGCAAUUAUUGACAAGCCUUUAGAAGAAAGUGAUAUUGUCAUGACCUUGUUGAUGAGCCAUCUCAAAUCCUACAACUACUUUAUUAUAGCAUUGGAGUUCAUUAAGCUAAAAGAGCUUACAAUAGACUAUGUAAUGGAAAGACUUGUCUAUGAAGUAACUAAGAAGAAAGAAAUAGAGCCUCAAAGUGAAGAUUCAACACUCUACUCACGUCAAGGCAAGAGCAAUUAUUCAAAUCAAUAAAAAAAUAUCAAAUCUUACUUUAUUUGUAGCAAAGUAAGCUAUUUUGCUCGAAAUUACUACAAAGGCAAAAAAAUAGAGAAAGAGAAUGCAAAUAGUGUAUAAAAUGAGUUUGGAAGACAAGAUUAUGAAUUCAAAACAACAAAUAGGACCUCCAUAGCUGCCAUAUUAAGAUGGAUUGUAGAUUCAGGUUUUUCCAAGUAUAUGACACCUUAUAAAUGUAUAUUUCAUACUUAUGAGGCUAUUCCAACAUCAAAUGUGAUGUUGGGAGAUAGUAGUACAUGUGAAGCCAUUAGAAUUGGCUCUAUUAUGGUAGAGGUGGUUGUGAAUAGAUAAACUAAUAGGAUCAAAUUCAAAAACAUCUUUCAUGUGCCUAAGAUGAAGCAAAACCUAAUUUGGAUGAAUAAACUUAUAAUGAAAGGUUUUAAAGUUUAAUUUGACAUGAAUGAAUGUUUUGUAAGGAUAUUAAGUAGAGACAAGGUUUCCAAAGGCUUUAGAAAGAAAAAUUUGUACUAUCUUAUUUGUAAAAAGAUGAAUGGAGUGGACAUAGCUAUAUUUGUUGAAUUUACAUCAAACCAAGACAAGUUAAAUAUGAGGCAUUGUGGCCUUGACCAUUUAAAUGUGAAGAGCAUGAGAGAGCUCAAGUCUAUAAUAAGUAGGUUAGAUCUUGAUAAUAUAAGCUAAAAUAUAAAAUUACUUAUAUGUAAAAGAUGCAUAUAAGGCAAACAACAAAAAACCUCAUUUCCAAGUAGCAUAGUAAUACGUGCUACCAAGUUGCUGUAGAUUGCCCAUUUUGAUGUAUGUAGACCUAUGAAAAAUACAAGUAUUAGAGAAUCAAGGUAUUUUCUCACUUUCAUUGAUGAUUAUUAAAAAAAGAUUUAAAUCUACAUUCCUAAAGCUAAGAGUGAAUGCUUUUGGAAGUUUAAGGAGUUUAAAGGACUUGUUGAGAAAUAAAGUGAAUGCAAGAUCAAGGUACUGCAUAUGGAAAAUAGAGUAUAUAUAAAAAAUAAAUAUCUGUGAGUCAUCAAAUUGACUCACUUGUUGUUUUAGGAUAAAAAUAUGUAUUUAGAAUGCUUUAAAUCACAAUAUAUAGUGAGUAGUAUAGAAAUCCUUUGAGAAAUAGAAAAUUAAAAUGUUAAUGGUAGAGAUGGAGUCUUAGUAAGUCUUAGAGACAAUUAUCUUCGUUGAUUUAGUAUUUUUAUUCAUUGUUGAGUAUUAAGGAAUAUUUAUUAAGACCAAUAAUUAUAUUUUUCUUCUAUCUAUAUGUACUAUUUAUAAAAAAUAUAAAUAUUAGUUGUUAAAAGAAGCAUGAAAAAGAAUCUCAUAUCAUUUUAGUUAUUGAUAUAAAAAAUAGGAUUUAUAGGUGAUUUAAAUUGAUGUUUAUUAUUAUCAAAAAUCACAAAGGUAGGAAAAUAUAGCCUUACAUGGAUAUUAGCAUUAUAGAAAUAUUAUAGGAUUUUUCAAAUUUUAUUUAGAAUUUAUUUAUAUUUUUUUAGGAAUUUUUAGAGCAAUAUUUAAGAUCUUGGUAAAAAUAAAUUUUACCACUUCGGAAGCUAUUAUGAAGAAAGGGAGUAAGAUUUGAAGGCCACAUUAAGUUCCCAAGCUAAUUGGGUAUUUUUAAACACCAUGGUAUAGUCAAAAAUACAAAACAAUGAGUUUUACUAGUAGAAAAUAGGAGGACCAGUAGCUAGUCUAAUCCUUGUAGGAGAGAAGGUGUACAAGUUCCAUAUGGGUUGUAGCACCUUGGGUAUACGUAGGAAGAUAAGACUAAGGCCUCAAGGCCUCUUUAGACAUCUAAUAUGCACUACAUGUGAGCUUUAGUGAGGCUCGAAUCCUUGACGUGUAAACAAGUUAUCCUUGAGGUAAAAUAUUUUUACUUAACUUUUAUUUAUUUACUUGUUAUUUUUAAACCUUCAUAACUUACUCAUAGUAAAUCAAAUUUAUAUGUUUCUUACAUCAUUGGAAUGAUUAAAAAAUUAACUUCCUAAAAAUAUACUUUUUACUUUUAUUUUUUAUUAGAUAAAAACUUCGUGAACAGACUGUCACCGAAUUUUGGAAUGUGUAUUUACUUGUAUACAUUCCUUUCACUUGUUUGCUUUGAUUCUUCUUUUGUUUUUGUUCAUUGCAUCUUCCACUUUAUACUACUUAUUACAAGAAACUCUUAAUUGAUGCCAUCUUAUAAUUUGGAUAGAGAGGUGAAAUUUACACUCACAAUAUUCAACAAGUGCUCUUGCAUCAAUGAUACCACAAGAAGCUUGGAGUGGAAGACAACCUUGCAUAUGCCAUAUGAAGAAUUUUGGUUGCAUUGCAUAUGCAAAAACAUCAAAUUUUAUGAGGUCCAAACUUGAUGCAAAAGGUACAAAGUGUAUAUUUCUUGGUUAUUGUGAAGGUACUAAGGCACAUAGGCUAAUGUAUUUAGAAACCAAAAAGAUCAUCAAUUAUCAUAAUAUUGAUUUUUUGAAGCACAAGAGUGUUUGUGAGUACUUGGAGAUGUGUCUAAGUGAGAGUAAUAGUGUAUUUGUGGACACAUCUUUGAAUUCAACAAAAAAACAAGAAGAUGAAGCCAAUGAAGAUGAUGAAGAUGAAAAGCCAAAGAAGGUUGAAAAGAUGAAGGCUCCUAUAAUUGCUAGAAAUAGCAAUGAAGGAAAUGAAGAUGUUGAAGAUUGUAAUGAUGAUAAUGAGGAGUAUGAAUCAUUGAGUGAAAAAUGACAAGGUUUAAGAGAGAAGAAGGUUGGAAAAGAACAUAGGAUGUAAUAAGGUGAAUGUUCUUUUACAAAUGAAAGGAGAUAUCUUUUUAGAGAAAGAAGGCAAUGUGGUGAAUGGUGGAAGGAUCACAUCUUUCUUCAAAACUAAAAAGAGAUGCAAAUGAUAGAAGUUCUACAAAGAGAUAUGUCUUUUUCAUGGAAUUAUAAGAGACAACCUACCAUUGCAAGAUCAACAAUAGAAGUAGAAUACAUGGCAGCAAGUCAUUGUGCAAUAGAGGUGUGUUGGAUAAGAUAACUCUUAAAAGAUAUUGAAUUAGUGUUAUUAGAAGCAACUCUAAUUAUGUGUGAGAAACAAGGAUGUCUUGCAUUUGCCAAGAAUCCAAAAUACUAUUCAAGGACCAAUCAAAUUGAUGUUCAACAUCAUUUCAUAUAAGAGAAGAUUGAAGAUGGAAUAAUAGAUAUGAAGUAUUGUGCUACAAAUGACAAGUAUGCUGAUGUGCUUACAAAGGCAUUAGUGAAAGAUAGACAUCACAAGUUAAUACAAAGAUUAGGAUUGAAAGCUUAUUGAAAAUUAGCAAAGUCAGAGUGUUGAAGAUCAGCAAGUACUUGCUUAGUUAUAACCACAUAGAAAUUAAACAUAAUAUAUUGCUAAUAGCCAUAACAUAUUUAAGUAAGUAUAUAUAGAUUUUUAUAAGUAAUACAUGUAGAUAUGAAGCCAAUAUAGAUAUUUGUCUCAAUUUCUAAUCAUUAAUAUUCAAUUAUGAGUGAAAAUACUAUACCAACUAAGAUAAUUGCCUCCAAGACUUACUAAGAUUCUAUUUUUAUAAUUUUUCUUUUAAUAAGACUUUUAUACUUAUAAAUACUUUUAAAUUCUAAUAAAUAUAUAAAUAGUCAAUAAAAAUUAUUAAAUAUAUAUUUAUCUUAAUAAAUGAUUCAAUAUUAUAUUUUUAAUCAAUCCACUUAUUAAGAUCCAUUGGUGGGACUCACAUGUGGUGUCACGAACAUACAUAUAAUUACCUAUAUGAAUAGAUAAAAGUAUGUAAAAGUAGAUAAAAGUAGGUUAAUUGUGUAAUAUCUUCUAGAGAAGCUUCUUAGAAGCUUCAUAGACGCUGCUUUGACUUUAUAGGAGUCUAUAGUUGACUUUUAGGUUAGAAACUUAGUCAACAAGUUAGCCAUGUGCCACACAUGUUGGAAGCUUAAAGAACAAGCUAACUACGUGGUCCAUCCAUAGAAAACUUGCCUUGCAAGCAAAGGCAUGUGGCCUAGAAAGUCAACAUAUAUUGGAGGUCUUAUAGAACAUUGCCACGUGGCUUCUAGUUAGAUAGUAUAUAUAGAGGCAAGAGUGAAGCCCUCUUCACUCUUGUCAACUCCUUUCUUGCUUCUAGUCUAGUUUCAAGGGUCUCUAGUUUUCUUGUAUUUUGGCAAUAGCUAUUCCAGUUUCUUUCUUAAUAUACAUAUUUUUAUUUUGUCCUAUUUCUUUUUGAGAAAAGUCUCACUUACUCUUUAGCUUUCAUCGAGUUCUUGUCCUUGACAGAUUGACAAGAGUACACUUACAAUAUCAGAGCUUUGUCUUUUCUUGAUUAAGAGUGGAUUACCCCUUUUUUUGAUAAGACAUAAGCGCAUUAGAAGUUGCGGAUUACCCUCUUUUAAACUGAUAUUGUUCUUAGUACUUUCUUUGUUAUCAAUUCCUCUCUUCUAUUUGUUUUGAGCGUUAUUAGACAUCUUCUCUUUUCUAAGUGCUACUAUGGUAGAGCUUGUUGAAAUGAAGAGUGCAAUGGCACAGAUGCAAGAACAAUUGAGGGAGUUAAUGCUUGCGAUGCAUCAACUCAAUUUACCAUCACAAGGAGCAACAAGAAUGGUAGGAAGUGAAGAUAUAGAGAUGAUUGGAGCUGCUUCAACAUCUGCACCAAACCAUGUCCCUUCUCCCAGAAUGGAACACCCUUCGAGUGUUAGAGAACCGAGAGUUGCCUUGCUCGAGAAGUUUGAUGGUACCAGAUCCAAGUUUCGAGGAUUCAUCAAUCAGGUCCAACUAGUGAUUGAACUUCAACCCCAGAGCUAUCCAACUCCAGGAUCACAAGUUAGAUUCAUUGGUACACUUCUUGCAGGUUCAGCAUUGUCAUGGUUUUCAUCUUUUCUUGAAUGACGAGAUCCAAUAUUGGAUAAUCUGGAGGCUUUUUUGGCGGAGUUUCGAUCCAUGUUUGGAGAACAUGAUGCAAUUCGUGUUGCAACCAACAAGAUCCGUAUUUUGCGACAAGACAAUCGAUCAGUAACAUUAUAUGCUUCACAAUUUCGACAACUUGCAACUGAUAUCAAGUGGGAUGAUGCCGCACUUGUGAGUCAAUUUCUCUACGGAUUACAAUAUGAGGUAAAGAAAUUGAUGCUUAAUUUACCUGAUCCUCAAACAUUGAGUCAAGCAAUUGACUUUGCUGUGAAGUGCGACAAUCGACUUUUUGAAUUUCGAUCCGAGAGUCGCACAAGUGGGCCUCAACGUUACUACAAUUCAAUGGCAACACCGACGUCUCCUCAACACAUACCUUCAGAAGUAGAGGAUAUGCAAAUUGAUGCGGUACGUUUCAAACCUCUUACUGAGCAAGAAAAGUCUCGUCGUCGACAAGAAGGAUUGUGCUUAUAUUGUGGAGAACCUAAGCACACUGCUCAACAUUGUCCAAAGAAGCGACGUAACUACAAAAUGAGGAGUACGGCUGUCAAAGAAGACAGUAUGUCGGAAAACGAGUACGUCCAGCUACAAUAGGGACCGUGCGGCUGGAAUCUUGUACAACUUCUAAUGAAGGUCCUAUCCUCUCCUCAGAACCAUCUCCUUGUUUUAUAAUAGAUGUGCGUUUAGGACCUAAUAAUUACAAAGCCUCUGCCUUGGUAGAUUCAGGAGCCUCAUCUUGUUUUUUAGAUGAAGAAUUUGCUAGAUGUCAUAGAAUAUCAUUAAUACAAAAAACUAAACCUGUACACGUAGAAGUCAUAGAUGGUCGUCCGUUGUCUUCUGGAGAUGUAACUCACGAAACACUUCCUGUAGAUGUAGUAAUAAAUGGUCAUAGUAGUUGCGUAAUUUUUAAUAUAAUUAGAUCUCCCUCUAAUCCAGUAAUUUUAGGCUUAUCAUGGUUAGAAAAGUAUAAUCCUCGAAUAGAUUGGAUUUCUCGUAAACUUGAUUUUCCUCAGAGCAUUAGUAACAGUUCUAUUAAUCAAGUAAAAAACCAUGAGUCUAGUAUAGUAAAACUCACACUUAUAGGUGCAAAAGCAUUUAUACACGCAGCAAAAGAAGGAUCAACUUUUGCUAUUUAUGCUGCACCUAUUUCUGAAAGCGUAAAGACUUCAAGUGGCAUUCCAAGUCAAUAUCAGGAUUAUCAAGACGUUUUUGAGAAAAAGAAUGCAGAUAUUCUUCCUGAGCAUCGCCCAUACGAUUGUUCAAUCGAUCUCAAGGAAGGAACUCUGCCACCAUUUGGACCAAUUUACAGUUUAUCGCAAGAUGAGUUGGCUGAACUCAAGACAUAUAUUGACGAGAAUUUAGCGAAGAAUUUCAUACGCCAUUCAAAAUCUCCAGCAGGAGCUCCAAUUUUAUUCGUAAAGAAAAAAGAUGGAUCUUUACGAAUGUGUGUUGACUAUCGAGGACUCAACAAGAUCACAAUCAAGAACAGGUAUCCAUUACCUUUGAUAUCAAGACUCCUUGACCAUUUAAAUCAAGCUAAGAUCUAUACAAAAAUAGAUCUAAGAUGAGCAUAUAAUCUAGUACGGAUCAAAGAAGGAGAUGAAUGGAAGACUGCGUUUCGAACCAGGUACGGGCAUUUUGAAUAUAAUGUCAUGCCUUUUGGACUCACGAAUGUACCAGCUGCUUUUCAACAUCUCAUGAAUGAUGUAUUUCGUGAAUUCUUAGACAAUUUUGUCGUCUGCUACCUAGACGAUAUCCUGAUUUAUUCUAAGAAUGUUGAAGAACAUGAAAUACAUGUUCGUCAAGUAUUACAAAAACUCAGAGAUGCAGGAUUGUACGCCAAGAUGGAAAAGUGUGUAUUUCACACUACUCAAGUUGACUUUUUAGGAUACAUCAUUUCAAAUGAUGGUCUCAUUAUGGAUUCUAAGAAAGUCCAAACAAUCAUGGAUUAGAAGAUUCCAAGGACAGUAAGAGAUGUCCAAUGUUUCUUGGGAUUUGCCAAUUACUAUCGGAUCUUCAUCAAAGAUUUUUCAUGAGUUGCAGCUCCACUUACACGCUUGACUAGUAAAGAUAAAUUCCAAUGGAAUCAAGAAGCGGAAGCAAUAUUUGAAGCCUUGAAGACAUCGUUUGUCUCUGCACCAGUCUUAUAUCAUGUUGACUUUUCCAAGGCAUUUUUUAUGGAAACAGAUGCAUCAGAUUUUGCCUUGGGUGCAGUUUUAUCACAAAUGGGAACAGAUGACAAACUUCAUCCGAUAGCUUUUCAUUCAAGAAAAUUCUCAGCAGUCGAGAUCAAUUAUGAGAUCCACGAUAAAGAACUUCUUGCAAUCGUGGAUUCCUUUCAAGAAUGGCGUCAUUAUCUAGAAGGUACUUCUAGUCCAGUCACUGUGUAUACAGAUCACAAGAACCUCGAGUAUUUCAUGUCAGCACGUGUGUUGAAUCAUCGUCAAGCUCGUUGGAGUAUGUCUUUGUCAAGAUUCGACUUCAUUAUCACUUAUCGGCCAGGAAAACAACAAGGUUUGUCCGAUGCUCUGUCUAGACGUUCUUAUUUUGCACCAAAAGAAGGAGAUGCAGCUUUUGAGCAACAAAGAACGGUCCUCUUGAAACCGGAGCAAUUUCAUCUCCGAGCAAUGAAAUCAACAUUGACUGUUGAUUCAACUUUUCUCAAGCAAAUCCAGUCCAGUAUGUCCUCAGACCCUCUUGUUCAUGAUAUCGAGAAUAAUUCUUCCAAGUCUCAUGAUUCUUCUAAGUUCGAGUUUAAGAAUAAUCUAUUAUAUUUUGAAGGACGCCUAUAUGUUCCAGAAGGAAAAGCACGUUUGCGUGUUCUUCAAGCACGUCAUGACUUUCCAGCAGCAGGGCACUUUGGAUAUAAUAAGACUCUGGAACUCAUAUCAAGAGAUUUUUGGUGGCCACAAAUGUGGAAGUCAGUCAAAGACUUUGUACAAUCAUGUGAUAUUUGUUCAAGAUCAAAAAUUCCUCGACAUCGACCUUACGGACUUCUUCAGCCAUUACCUAUACCAGAACAACCAUGGUCUUCUGUUUCUAUGGAUUUCAUCACAGAUCUUCCAAACUCAAGAUCUUAUGAUUCUAUAUUUGUGAUAGUAGAUCGUUUCACCAAGAUGGCACAUUUUAUGCCAUGUACAAAAUCUAUCACAGGUGAAGAAACAGCUAAGCUUUUCAUUGAUAAUAUCUUUCGCUAUCAUGGAUUACCUAAAGAUAUCAUAUCGGAUAGGAGAACUCAAUUUGUGUCGAGAUUCUGGAGGACUCUUUUCAAGAUUUUAAAAGUGGACAUAAAGCUAUCUUCAGCUUUCCAUCCUCAAACUGAUGGACAAACAGAGCACGUAAACCAAGUCUUGGAACAGUAUUUAAGGUGUACCAUCAACUACCAACAAGAUGAUUGGACAAACCUUCUGCCAUUGGCAGAGUUUGCUUAUAAUAAUACGGUACAUUCCUCCACGCAAAAAACACCUUUCUUUGCCAAUUAUGGCUAUCAUCCACGACUUGAUACUUUUGAUUUUUCAAAAGUUGAUAAUCCUGCAGCAGAAGAUAUGGCAAAUCGGUUGUCAGAGUUACAUGCAAUAAUGAAGGCGCAGUUGAAGAAAGCUCAAGAACGACAAAAGAUAAAUACAGAUGUAUAUCGUAAAGAGCAACCACAACUCAACGUGGGUGAUAAGGUAUGGCUACUUCGUCGCAAUAUCAAGACCACUCGACCUUGUGACAAAUUGGACUAUCGUAGGCUUGGCCCCUUUUCUGUUUCUGAACAGAUCAACCUAGUUGCAUAUCGGUUACAUCUACCGGAGUCAAUGAAGAUCCAUCCUGUAUUCCACGUGUCUCUUCUUGAACCAUAUAAGACAGUGGAUAUACAAGGAAGAAGACAAAUGCCACCACCUCCUAUAGAAGUAGAUAGUAAUGAAGAAUUUGAGGUGGAAGAGAUAUUAGACUCAAGGCGGCGCCGAAAUAAGCUGGAAUAUCUUGUUCAUUGGUGCGGAUAUGAUAUUAGUGAGCGCACAUGGGAGCCAUCCAGGAAUCUAGCAAAUGCAUCAGCUAAAGUCAAAGUUUUUCAUCAACGACAUCCAUCAAAACCAAGAUGAAAACCUCUCUUAUAAAAGAGACAAGAUUGAGGCAAGAUAACAAUUUCCUAUCCUUGUUUGUAACUUCUUUGCAUUUUGUGAUGCUAAUUAGAUGGAGAGCCAACAACCAGUGGAUUCAACUCAAGAACCUUCGUUUGCUGACUUACCGGAUGAGACAUUGCGAAUGUCACAACCUUCAAGACGACGCAACCGAGAUGAAGACCCUCAAGAACGACAUGUUCUUCCUCGAAUAGAUGGUGAGAUACAACGCGUUUGGUAUCACGACCUUGGAAGAGAUUCUCGAUGUUUGGUGAUAUUAUUGGAGAUAGGAACGACUCCUGAUGGUGUUUCAAAUGUAUUAUUUGAAGGAAGUUAUGAAGGCCUCAACAGUAAUCAAAUAACAGGGUGGUCUUCUCGCCCUGGAAUGGGACACUAUCGAUGGCUAAGAGGACCCAUCAACUAUCUUCGAAGAGAACAAAGAUCAGAGUAUGUAGCAAAUACAAUUCGCCGCAUAUUAGAUUUUCUCAAUAUAUAAUCACCGCUCCUCGUGGAACUCGUCCCUAGAAGGGGGGGUAAUGUCACGGACAUACAUAUAAUUACCUAUAUGAAUAGAUAAAAGUAUGUAAAAAUAGAUAACAGUAGGUUAAUUGUGUAAUAUCUUCUAGAAAAGCUUCUUAGAAGCUUCAUAGACGUUGCUUUGACUUUAUAGGAGUCUAUAGUUGACUUUUAGGUUAGAAACUUAGUCAACAAGUUAGCCAUGUGCCACACAUGUUGGAAGCUUAAAGAACAAGCUAACUACGUGGUCCAUCCAUAGAAAACUUGCCUUGCAAGCAAAGGCAUGUGGCCUAGAAAGUCAACAUAUAUUGGAGGUCUUAUAGAACAUCGCCACGUGGCUUCUAGUUAGAUAGUAUAUAUAGAGGCAAGAGUGAAGCCCUCUUCACUCUUGUCAACUCCUUUCUUGCUUCUAGUCUAGUUUCAAGGGUCUCUAGUUUUCUUGUAUUUUGGCAAUAGCCAUUCCAGUUUCUUUCUUAAUAUACAUAUUUUUAUUUUGUCCUAUUUCUUUUUGAGAAAAGUCUCACUUACUCUUUAGCUUUCAUCGAGUUCUUGUCCUUGACAUGUGGCGACCAUUUGGGACUAUUUGUAAAAAUAGAGAGAACCCAACUCUUCCAUUUGAAACGGUUUAUGAAAAAUAUAGGAAACUAAAAUAAAAUAAAAUAAAAUAAAUUAUCAAAAAAGAUACUAUCACCUAUUAAAAGAAGUAGAAUAUAAAAAGAAAACUACUGAAAUAUUGACAUAGAGUCAAGAAAGAUCAACUAUUUGGUUUAGACUCAAUAUGUCUCCACAUGUAGCAACUUUUAGCAUCUUAAACCAUCACCUACAUGCUUAGAGUAAGAAGAUAUAUAUAUAUAUAUAUAUAUAAAGAGAGAGAGAGAGAGAAAGAGAAAGAGAAAGAGAGAGAGAAAGAGAAAGAGUAUAGAUAAAGAUAUAGAUAUAGAGUAAGAAAAUAUAUAUAUAUAUAUAUAUAUAUAUAUAUGUAUUUAUCUUUUUAUCAAAGAUCUCCUUUUUUUUCAUCUAAGUAGUUUUUAUGUGUUGAACUACAAUCUUUGAAUCCCACUAUGUUUUUUUAGAUACUCUAAUUAUUCUUCUAAAGAUUGAAAAACAUUCAAUCUUUUGUCAAUAGCAAUGUGCAAGGAUGAGCCUUCAAAUUCUAUAAAUAAAAUAUAAAUGUCCUCUUCUUUGUAAGUAUUUUCUUCUAACCAUUUGGCAAAAUCACCUUCAUCUUUAUAUUCAUAUAAUUCAUGGCAAAUACAUUUUAUUGGUGCUAUAGUUGAAAUUGAAUUGGAUUGGAUAAAACUACUUUGUUUAGCUUCUUUAGAUGUUGGUGUUUUUUCUAAUGGAAUAAGGACUUGGAGUCUAAAGUGGCUAGAUACUAUGGUUGUUGUAUGAUUAUUUAAAGGUCCAAAAGUAAAAUAAGACUUAGAAGCCCUCCAAUUUGUUACUCCUUUAGAUUGCCUCAACAAUCUUCUUUUUAAUAAUAGAAGGUAGCUAUCCACUUCUUCAUAUAAGCAUAUGACAUAAAAUAAUACUACAUAAUCUACACCUCUUGCUUACAUAUGAAGGUCUCAAAUUUGACCUAAACAUUAAAAAGGACUUUGAUCAACUAAUCUCACCUUCAUAACUAUCUUAUGAGUGAUUUUUAAUCUUAAUUUGAUCAUGGUGAAUUUGAGCAUAAUAUUCAUGCUACUUCCAUCAUCUACUAUGACCUUAGAAAUUAUUUUAUGUACUAUUUCUACUUCUAUCUCAAUAGGUCCAUAUUCUCUAUUGUCUUUUUUUUUCUUCCGAGUUAAUAUUUUCUUCUAAAUCUCCAACUUCAAUUCUAGCUAUUUCUACCAAAUUUUUAGUUUUUUUAUCUAAUUAUAUCUUUUUUGAGGUCUUUUUUGAUAGUUGGUGCUACUUAAAUUAAUUGAUCAAAAGAUAUGUUGGUUCUAGUCCUACAAAGGUCUUGCCAUAAAUCAUAUGGUUUUACAAGAUUGAAGGCUAUAAUAAUUGUUGGAUGUUUUAACAAGGCAUUAGAGGUCCAAGGCCCUUUUUUGUCCACAAAUUGAUAUUCUUCCUCAUUAGGUUCAAUCAAAGAAGAUAAUUGAUCGUAUUUUAGUUAUUUAGCUACCUCCUGAGUAGUUUUUGUUAAUUCUUCAAACUUAAGUAAUUCUUCUGAAGUAUCUAAAGAUAUUUUAUUAUCUUCAAGAGGUGCUAAAUCUAUUGGUUUUUUGGCUUUCAUACUUCUAAUUACAACCAAAGAAGGUAAAUAUACAUUAUUCUUGAAGAUCUCCUCAAUGUCUAGUUAGACCAAGUUGGAUUGAGGAGAUGGUAAGGUUGAUGUAGUAAGUACAUGAGGUUGAACCAUUAUAUAUUUAACAUCUUCAAAAGAUUGUGGCUGUUGAUUUUGGUUUUGAUUUUGAGUAUAGGUUAUAUAUCCUUAUAAUAUUCCAUGAUUGGUUCUAACUAUUGUUGGAGGAUGAUGGUUUUGACCAUUACUUGAAGGAUCAUAAUACAUGUUUUAUGAGUUUUUUGUAACAAAAGGAUUUGUAAAUCUCACUCCUUAUAUAUUUCCUUUGGUUUGAUUAUUAUAAUCGUUUGAAGAAGAAGUAGAGGAAUUAACUUGGUUGGAUCUUCUACAAUGAUGUAUAGAAUGAGAACUUCUACAAUUUGAGUAUAUAAGUCCAUUCUAAAUCCAACAUUGACCUACCCGAUGUGGUUUUCUACAAGUAGGAUAAGGUAUAAUAUUAUUCGUUUAGUUGGAAGGAAGACUAGGACUUACUUGUCUUGAAUGGUGAGAAUAUCUAUGAGGUUGGGAUUGAUUUUUUUAUAUAAGUAGUUGUUGUAGAAAUUAUGAACAAAAUUAGACAGUGUGAUUUACUUGUCUAUAGUCUGUACACCACAAUCCAAAAGUAUGAAUUUCUGAUGUCAUGUUUUAACAUGACUAUAUGGUGAAAGAUGAUAAUAUGGAUCUUAUCAUAGAAGAGCCAAGUUAAAAGAUAAAGUAGAAAAUAUGGAUAAAAGAUAGGGAGGUAGUAAAACUUUUAGUAGUAAUACUAUAUUUUUUAGAAAAGUGACUUCUACUUAUAUUGUAGGGCCAUAAAUAAGGCAAAAUAAAGUAGACUAGAAAAAUAAAUAAUAUAAGAAUCUUAAGAAGGAAGUAAAGAGUAAAUUCUAGCAAAAACUAUUUAUAAUAACUAGAUAUUGAUAUUCGGAGAGGGCCAAUUAUGAACCAGGGUUGAAAUCAGAUCCCAAGGCACAGAACCAAGUCUUGACGAUGACUUUAAGAUUCUUUAGCAAAUUGGAGAGUACAAUUUGAUAGAAGAUUGGAUAGGGUUUCUAUAAGCAUUGGUUUUGGAUGAUUUGGAUCUGUAUUGACUUUAUAAGAGCCUUGCAAAGUCAAGGUUUGUUUUGGAUGACUUGGAUUUUGUGAAAUAAAAUAGGUGUUACGUUUUGGGUGAUUUCAAGAAUUUUGUAAUAGUUCUACAAGUGAAAAUUUGUGGGUUAAUGUUUAUAGUUGUAUUCAAUAUUUUUUGUAAAUUUAAGUUCGAUCUAACAGUUGAAUUGAGAGUUAUUGAGGUUUAAGUGAGUCAAGGUAUCAAAAAGUAAAAUUUUAGGUCUAGUGAGGGUUUUUAAGAUUUCUUGCAAUCUACUAGUUAGAUUGGAGUAAAACUUAUGUGAGAGGAUAUUAGAUUUUUUUUUCUAUAUGUAUGAGAAUUUUGAAAUCAAUCGAAUGGUGAAAAGAAGAGAUAUUGGCUCUAGAAGAUUGGCAUUAAGGUUGGAGAAGGAGGCCGGCCAAUACCCGAGCAUGUUUUUGAGGUAAUCAUCUAUUUAGUAAUUCCGAUCCUUUUCAAAAUUUUUGUACUUAUUUUCAACUUAGUUUUUAAGAAGUUCAAAAAAUUUGAGUUAAGAUCAAUAAUUCAUUCAUUAGUUAUUGAGGUUUGAAUCUGUUAUAGAAAUUACUAGGGUUUGAUUAAGAUUUGGUUUAGGGUUUAGAAUUUGGUUAGGGUUUCAUUUAGGAUUUGGUUAGGGUUUGGUUAGGAUUUGGUUUAGGGUUAAGGAUUUGAUUUAAGUUUUAGGGUUUAAUUUAGGAUUUAGGAUUUGAUUUAGGGUUUAAGAUUUGGUUUAAGAUUUGUUUAGGAUUUGGUUAGAGUUUGGUUUAGUAUUUGAUUAGGAUUUGAUUUAGGGUUUAAGAUUUGGUUUAAGAUUUGUUUAGGAUUUGGUUAGAGUUUGGUUUAGUAUUUGAUUAGGAUUUGGUUUAGGAUUUAGGAUUUGAUUUAGGAUUUAGGAUUUGAUUUAGGAUUUAGGAUUUGAUUUAGGAUUUAGGAUUUGGUUUAGGAUUUAAGGUUUAGGGUUUGAUUUAGGAUUUAAGAUUUGAUUUAGGAUUUAUUUAAGGUUUGGUUAGGAUUUAGAAUUUGGUUUAAGGUUUAAGGUUUAGUUAGGAUUUGAUUUAAGAUUUACUUAGGGAUUGGUUAGAAUUUGGUUUAGAAUUUGAUUAGGAUUUGGUUUAGGGUUUAGGAUUUGGUUUAGAAUUUAAGGUUUAGGGUUUGAUUUAGGAUUUAAGAUUUGAUUUAGGAUUUAUUUAAGGUUUGAUUAGGAUGUAGGAUUUGGUUAGGGUUUGAUUUAGGAUUUAGAAUUUGGUUUAAGGUUUAAGGUUUAGUUAGGAUUUGAUUUAAGAUUUAUUUAGGGAUUGGUUAGAAUUUGGUUUAGAAUUUGAUUAGGAUUUGGUUUAGGAUUUAGGAUUUGAUUUAGGAUUUAAGGUUUAAUUAGGGCUUAAUUUAAGAUUUAGGGUUUGAUUUAGGAUUUGUUUAAGAAUUGGUUAGAGUUUGGUUUAGGAUUUGAUUAGGAUUUGAUUUAGGAUUUAAGAUUUUAUUAGGAUUUAUUUAGGAUUUAUUUAGGAUUUAAGAUUUAAUUAAUUUUGGCCUAAAGUUCAAAUGAAGUCCAAUAGGAUUUUAACUAGGAUUAAAUUAGAAUUGAAUUGUGAUGUAUUUGAGAUAUAUUUGUGAUCAUUCUAAUAUUUCUUUAAGUUUUGUUAUUGUUUCUUUAAAAUUUCUUUGAGGUUUUUUGAAUUUGAUUAAAGCUUGCUUAAUAUUAUUAUGGUCUAAUUAGAGUUUAGUUAGUAUUCUAUUAGAGUUAGAAUUUUGUUAUUACAAUUUCUAUUCUACCUUCCACAACUAGGUGUCCAUAGCAUUUUCAAGCAAGACUUCACGUAUUAUGACACCGAUUUGUGGUAUCUAGGUUCUAUAGUUGGAAUUUGAUUUUUAAUAAGGCAAAAUAUUUGUUCACUAAUAGCUUCUAUUGUGUUCAUCAUCUCAUUUUGAAUACCUCAUUAAUUUGUAUUAGUUUACUUUUAAAUUCUUUCAAUCUAGUAUCAUAAAAGGUCUUAGUUUGAACUUGAUCACGUGGAAGUUGUAUAGCUUAAGGUUUUGGAUUACUAAUUAGUAAGAAAAAAGUAGAAGAUUGUAAGUAGCUUAAAAUUAGAGAUGGAUGGAAUUCUAUAGGUUGAUGUUGCAAAGGUAUAAAAGAGGAUAUUGAUUCUUCUGUCCUUCAAAGCAUAUUAUCAAUUUUCUUAUCAAUAACUUCUACUUCCAAAGCUGCUUGAAUGAAUCCUUUUAAAUCUUUAUGUCUCUUGUUUAGGAUAUUCCAAAUUAUAGAAGGCAUAGUAAAAUCUUGAAUAAAGUAGUGUCUUAUGGUAUCUUCAUUUAAAAAGUUAUCAAUAUAUCAUGUAUAUACUACUCAAAAGCGCCUCAUGUAAGAACUAAUAUCUUUUGAAGGACCUUGUAUAAUAGUUGUCAAGAUUGAAAGAGCUUGUUGUUGGCUAAUUACAAGUCUAAAUUGACAAAGAAAUACUGCUAGAAGUUGUUCCUAUUUAGUAAAUGCCCCCUCUACAUGAGAUCUAUACCAAGCAUAUACAGAGUGUGUUAAGGUUGUUAGAAAUCAUAUUAAAUAGUAGCCAUGAUUGGUUACUAAACUAAUGAUAAGCACUUCUACAAACCUUUUUACGUGGGUUGCUGGAUUUUCAUUGAUAGAUCUAUUAAAUCUUAGGAGAUUAGGUGGAAUUGAUGCCCCUUAUAAUCUUAAAGGUACUACAAUUGUUAAUCCCCUCGGUAACAUCAUAGGAUCAAUUGAGUAUUGGCUUAGAAGUUGUGGUUAUCUUCAUUAGCUAUAUGAGCUCUUUAAAUUAGAAAUGAUAAAGGCUCUACUUGAGGCUCUCAAGGAUGUCCUCUAUCAUAUUCCAUCUUGAUAGAAGCUUAUAACAUCUUGUCACAAAGUUCUUUUAAUUCAUGAAUUUUUAAAAUUAUAAAUUCAAUAUAUGAUCUACAUUGUAAAACGCAUCAAGAUCGCAAAACAAGGCCAAUAUGGAUAGGAUAAACUAUCUUGGAUUCAAUUCUAGGUAGCAUACAACUAAGUAUAUGGCUCUUCAAUGAUUUCCUUAAGAUAAAAGACCUAAUAGGUGAUUAAAAAUAAAACAAAUAGACUUUAAAUUAUUUUUAUUUUAUUUUAUGAAAUAACAUAAAAUCCUUUCCUAACCUAUUUGUAAAGUGCGUUGUUGUGAUGUAACAUGAUUAAUAAGUGAAAGAAUGUGGAGAUUAUUAUAAUUUAAGAGAUCUUAGUUUAAAGUAUUAGAAAAAAUUAUCUUAGAAAUAUAGUUAAUAGCCAAAGAGGUAGAAAAAUUAAAAGGUAUCAAUGCUGCCUUUUAGAAAGGUGACUUCUACUUACUUUGUAGUACCAUAAGUAAGGCAAAUCAAAGUAGAUUGGGAAAAUAAAUGAUAUAGGAAUCUUAAGAAGAAAGUUAAGAAUAAAUUCUAGAAAAAAAUUACUUAGAAAAACUAGAUAUUGAUACCCGGAGAGGGCCGGUUAUGAAUCAGGGUCGAAAUCAGACCCUGAGGCACAAAACCGAGUCUCAACGACGACUCCAAAACUCUUUGGCAGAUCGGAGAGUGGCGCCUGAGAGAAGAUUGGAUAAGGUUUCUAUGAGCGUUGAUUUUGGGUGAUUUGGAGUUGAUAUGAAUUUGUAAGAGCUUUGCAAAGUUGAGGUUUUUGUCGGAUGACUUGGGUUUUAUGAAAUAAAAUAGGAUUUAUGUUUUGAGUGAUUUUGAGUGUUUUGUUGCAGAUCUACGGGUAAAUUUUUUUGGGUUCAUGGUUAUAGUUGUCUUCAAUACAUGUUGUGAAUUUGAGCUUGAUCUAACGGUUGAAUUGAGAGAUAUUUAGGUUUAAGUGAGUCAAGGUCUCAGAAAGUAGAAUUUUAGGUCCAGUGAGGGUUUUUAAGAUUUCAUGCAAUCUACUAGUUGGAUUGGAGUAAAACUUAUGUGAGAGGAUAUUAGACUUAUUUUCCUAUGUCCAUGAGAAAUAUGAAACCAAUUGAACGGCGCAAAGAAGAGAAAAUUGGCUUUGGAAGGUUGGCAACAAGAUUAGAGAAGGAGGCCGGCUAACACCCGAACACAUUUUUGAGGUUUUCAUCAAUUUGGUAAUUUCGAUCCUUUUCAAAAAAAAUUUGCUUGUUUUGAACUUGAUUUUUAAGAAGUAUGCAAAUUUUGAAUUGAGAUCAACGGUUUAUUCAUUAGAUAUUGAGGUUUAAAUCUGUCAUAGGAAUUACUAGGAUUUAGAUUAGGAUUUGGCUAGGGUUCGGUUUAGGAUUUGGAUUAGGGUUUGGACUAGGAUUUGGAUUAGGGUUUGGCUAGGGUUCGGUUUAGGGUUUGAAUUAGGAUUUGGAUUAUGGUUUGGAUUAGGAUUUGGUUAGAGUUUGAUUUAAGGUUUGGUUUAGGAUUUAGAAUUUGGAUUAGAAUUUAUGAUUGGAUUAGGAUUUGGAUUAGGGUUUGGAUUAGGGUUUAGGAUUUGGUUAGGGUUUGAUUUAGGAUUUGGAUUAGGAUUUGGUUAGGAUUUGAUUUAAGGUUUGAUUUAGGGUUUAGGAUUGGAUUAGGGUUUGGUUUAGGGUUUGAUUUAGGGUUUGGUUUAGGGUUUAGGGUUUGGAAUAGGGUUUAAUUUAAGAUUUGUUUAGGAUUUGACUUAGGGUUUAGGAAUUAUUAGGGUUUAAUAUUUAAUUAGGUUUGGUCUAAAGUUGAGUGAAAUUCAAUAGGAUUUUAACUAGAAUUAAAUUAAGGUUGAAUUGACAUAUAUUUGAGUAAAAUUUGUGAUCAUUCUAAUAUUUCUUUAAGAAUUUUAUUGUUUGUUUGAAAUUUCUUUGAGUUGUUUUGAAUUGGAUUACGUUUGUUUACCAUUAUUAUAGUCUAAUUAGAGAAUUGUUAGUAUUCUAUUUAGGAUUUUGUUAUCGCAAUUUCUAUUCUUCCUUCUACAGCCAGGUGCCUGGAGCAUUCUCAAGCAAGACUUCACAGAUUACGACAGUGUGGUUUAAUUAUAUACUAAGAUGAAAUCUUAUGUUGAUCUCAAAUUAGUGGUCUUACCUAAUAAUUAAACCUUUCUCAUAAGUCAUGCACAAGGUCCAACUAAAUACUAAGUUAAGAUCUCGUGCCGAUCUUAAUAUCAUGGAGUCAUGUGUUAGAGAUUUACAAAUUAGAAAUUGAAAAAUGAGGCCAAAAGAAGUACAAGUAAUUUAAAAUUUUAUCACAUGGAUACGACAAAAAUCAAAUAGACAAGAAAAUAGCAACCUGUAGGGCAAUAUAUUGCUUUUAACUUUGUCUGAUGGAGGUCAUCAUAUUCCACACAUAUAGGCUCCACAACAAAAGAAAGUCAUACUAGCUAUUAGCUUGACUUCAUUUUCUACAAAACAUCUAAAAAUUAUAAGCGCCUAUCACAAGCACAACUAGGUUUUCUUAACAAAAGAGGUAGAUUAGAGAAUUUUUUGGUAUAUGUAAUUGAAUAUUUUAGUAUUCAAUUACACUAUAGAGUGAUAGAAUGGUUAAGGUAUUACCUAUAGAACAACAAGUCCCGCUGUGCUCCUUCUUAAGUGUCUCUAAAUUGAAAUAAAAAUGAAGAGUUAAGGUUUGAAACCUACCUAAUUUUUCCAAGCCGUACUUCUUUUAUGUAUGCCUAAAAUUUUAAAUAAAAUUAAAGAAUCCACUUAAUUUUACCAAACCAUGCUCUUUUUCUUCAACUCACAAUCUGUGUUAGUAAAAUGAAGUUGAAACUAAAUAAUUUUUGUUAAAAAUAUACUCACCUUGGAUUAUGAUUUGAACUUACUAGUCUUCUCUUUUCUUCUUUUCUUCUUUUUUCUUACUUAUUCUAAAUUCCUUCUAUUUAAUUCUUCUACUUAUUUCUUCUUCUUGAAUCUCUUCUUUUUUUAUUGAUGAAGAAUUUUCUUUAAUUCUUCCUAAGCUCUUUCUACACUACUCUCAUGAAUAGAAGAGAUAUGAGAGAUAGAGGGAGUGAUUAAAUCUCCCUAGAACUAGAGAAAGGCCCUCCAUUGGAAAAUUUAUAAUGAUGCAAAGAGAUGGUGUGAGGGGUGGAUGAACUGAUUAAAUCCCCCUAUCACUAGAGAAAAGCCCUCAACUCGAAAAUUUACAAAGAAGAGGAGUGAUGAAACCUUGAAGAUGAGCUCCAACGUUGAUGGUUUGGAAGUGACAAAUAACCUAAAGAAAACCACCAAAUAAUAUUAAAACUAAUACCAAACUAAUCAAAUAUUACUUAAGGUUAGAAAUAAUAAUGUUGCAUAAAAAAUAGUUUAAUGAAUAACAAAAAAUAUAUUAGACUUAAGUCAAUACAUAAAACUUAUAAUGCAUCUAAUAAAAAGAAAAAUAAUAUCAAUAAAUAAAAAUAAUGGUAAAAAUUCAACAAUAAAAAUAAAGAUAAAAAGAAAGUUAAUUAAUUAAUUAAUUAAAAAUAAAUAAAUAAAUAAAUAAAUAAAUAAAUAAAUAAAUAAAUAAAUAAUAAAUAAAAUAAAAAUAAAAAUAAGAUAAAAUAAAAUAAAAGAAAAAUAAGAGUGAAAAUAAAAUUUAAAAGUAAUAAAAAAUAAACAAUUGAUUUUAUUUUUUAUUAAUUAAAUAAUUUAUUUAUUUUAAUAAUAUCAUUAUUAUUUAUUAUUAAUAUUUUAUCAUAUUAUAUUUUAUUCUUAAUUUUCUUAUUUUUAUUUUUAUUUUUAAUUAUUAUUAUUUAUUUUCUAAUUUAAUUUAUUAUUAUUAUGAUUAUAAUUUAAUAUAAUUGAGAGAAUUUUAAAACACAAAACUUAAAAGUAUAACAAAAAAUCAACAAUGUAAAUGAUUGAAAGAUAUAAAUCACUAACCUAAAUUAUAUUUGCUCAAGGUAGCAACCUCUCUCCACUCCAAAAAUUGCCAAAAAUUCAAUAUUGAUUCGAAAGCAUUGGAUUUUUCACCACUAAAAACUCAACUUUGAGAUUCUUGUACCUAGAAAUUUUCAAUGUAAAAUACUUAUCCGGCACUUAGAAAUACCUUGUCAAAGAUAGGGUACACAAAACUGCCAAGGUAGUGAAUCCUCUUGUGUUCGAAAAUUCACCACAAACUCGUUAUGGCUCCAAAUUAAGCGUAUAAUAUCUUUUCAGAAAUCUAAUAAUAAGAUACAUACAAUGCCAAAGUUUCAACUUUAAAUAUCAAACACCCAAUAACUGAUUGACAAAAAUCCGAGAGCAAAUCAACAUUCUACUCAACAACAAAACUUUUAACUAUCUUUUGAUUUUUAAAAAUUUGAAAGCCUUAUUUACACCAAUAAGGAGAGAGGUAGAAAACUUACAAAUAAUGAAGACUAAGUUUCAAUGCUCACACAUUAAGUCCAAGCAAAAUCAUUCACCAAAAGCUAACUUUACAUUCUCACACACCAUUAAAAGCACCAUCUCUCGGCAAAUGCAUCAUUUAUGUGAGGGUAAAUUUCUCCUUCACCCCAAAUUACAAGAUGGCCUCAAUUAAGAGUUGCUUGUAAUAUGUGGUAUAAAAUAAAAGUAACAAUAAACAAGAAUAAAAUAAGAACAAUACAAAACAAGUGAAACAAGUGCAAUCAAGCAAUUGUACACUACAAAACUAGUCAAAGUCUUUUCACUGGAUUUUCAUCUAGAAAAAAGUAAAAGUAAAAAGUAAAAAAUAUAUUUUUAGAUAUAUAAUUUUUUUAUCUUUCCAAUGACAUAAAAUUCAUGUAAUUCUAAGUUACUAUGAGUAAGUUAUGAUAGAUUAAAGAUAGAAUAUAAAUAAUAGAAAAGUUAAGUGAAUAAUAUUUACAUUAAGGGUAACUUGCUCAAGAAAUCAGGAGCUUGAGUCUCACCAAGGCUCACAAGUAGUGUAUAUUGGUCGUCAAAAGAGGCCUUGAGGCCUUAGUCUUAUCUUCCUACAUAUAUCCAAGGUGCUACAACUCAUAUGGGAAUUGUACGCCUCUCUUCCUACAAGAACUAUAUUAGUUGUUUGUCCUCCUAUUUUCUACUAGUAAAACUACUUUUUUUGAAUUUUUGACUACACCAUGGUAUUCAAAAACACCCAAUUAGUCUAGUAACAUUGUGUAGUCUUCAAAUCUUGUUUCAUUUCUUCAUAGUGGCUCUCAAGGUGGUAAAACUCAAUUUUACCAAGUUCUUAAAUUUUUCUCUAAAAAUUCAUAAAAAAUCCUAAAUAAAUUCUAAAUUUUUUUAAAAAAUCCUAUAAUAUUUAUAUAAUAAUAAAAUCUAUAUAAAUCUAUAUUUUUAUAUCUUUGUGAUUUUUUAUAGUAAUAAAGUCAAUUUAAAUCUAUUAAAAAUCCUAUUCUUUACAUAGAUAAUUUAAAAGACAUGAAGUUCUUUUGCAUGCUUCUUUUAACUAUUAACUAAUCAUUGAUAGGAUUUUUGUAAGUAAUACAUGUAGAUAUGAAGCCAAUAUAGACAUUGGUCUCAAUUCCUAAUCAUUAAUACUCAACAAUGAGUAAAAAUACUACACCAACUAAGAUAAUUGCCUCCAAGGCUUAUCAAGACUCUAUUUUUGUAACUUUUCUUUUUAUAGGACUUUUAUACUUAUAAAUACUUCUAAAUUCUUAUAAAUAUAUAAAUAGUCAAAAAGACUCUCUAAUCUUAGUAUUUAUCUCAUUAAAUAAUUCAAUACUAUUUUUUUAACUAAUCCACUAAUUAAGAUUCAUUGAUAGGACUCACACAAAUCAUACAAAAUUUGCACCAAAAUCAUAGCCAAAAACCUAAACUCUGUGAUUUUUAGCUUUCUAAGUUUGAAUUAUUUCAAAAGAGUAACCCUAAUUACUGAUAAGGCCUCAGGCGGCCUCUUUGUAGCCCAUUGGGUAUGCCUUUUGGCCAAUAGCAAUGGAUAUUUUCAUCAUCUAUCUCCAUUUAUCCAUAUGGAUGUCUUAACUAAUCUUUUUGCUACCAAAAUCUAUCUCUAAUCUUUUUUCUUAAAAGAUUUAUAUAACAUAUAUCCUAAACAUCAAAUAAAAGAAAUAAAACAAGAUUUUAAGAGUCACCAAUGUCUAAUAAAGGUGGCUCUAAAUUUAUAAAAUUACUAUCAAUAUAAAAUCAACUUCAAUAAUAGCCCUUUUAAACUAACUAUUUCAAAGUAGUAAUCUAACCAUAUUUUGAAACUAACUAAAAUCUAAUAAUAUGGCUUUUACCACAUUAUAUACUAAAUUAUAUAUUAAAUAUUUAUGUGCAUUAUUUUCACAUAGUAGCCAAAUCACAGCAUAAUAUUGUGUUAAAGGCAAGAGCUAAGUUCUCUCUAUUCUUAGAAAUAAUCCCAGAUAGUUGCCAUAUGUGAGUGCUACUAAUUCAUCUUAAUUAGUGGAUUGAUUAAAAAUAUAGUUUAAAGUCACUUUAUUAUAUAAAUAGUAAGAUUAAAAAUUCUUUUUGACUAUUUAAUUAUUUAUUAGAAUUAAGAAGUAUUUAUAAGUACAAAAGUCUUAUAAGAAGAAAAUUCUUAUUGAAAAGAAAGUCAUAAAAAUGGAGACUUAAUAAAACUUGGAAGCAAUUAUCUCCAUUAAUUUUAUAUUUUUACUUAUUGUUAAAUAUUAAAUAUUAGUUAUUGAAACCAAUUUCUUUAUUAGCCUCUUAUCUAUAAUUAUAACUUAUAAAAAUCCUAUCAAUUAUUAAUUAAUAAUUAGAAGUAGCAUAAAAAUAAUUUCAUGUCUUUUUAGUUAAUUACUUAAAAAAUAGGAUUUUUUUGUAGAUAUAAAUUGAUUUUAUUACUAUAAAAAAAUAUCAAAAAAAUAUAGCCUUAAAUAGAUACUAUUAUUAUAAAAAUAUUAUAUAAUUUUUUAGGACUUAUUUAGAAUUUAUUUAGAAUUUAUUUAGAAUUUAUUUAUAAUUUAUUUAGAAUUUAUUUAAAACUAUUUAGGAAUUUUUAUAGAAGAUUUCAAGACCUUGGUAAAAUUGAGUUUUACUACCUUGGAAGCCAUUAUGAAUAAAUGAAGUAAGAUUCAAAGUCUAUACAAGGUUCCUAGUCUAAUUGGAUGUUUUUAAACACUAUGAUGAAGUCAAAAAUGCAAAAAAAGAAAUUUUAUUAGUAAAAAAUAGGAGGACCAACAACUAAUCUAAUUCUUGUAGAAAAAGAAGUGCACAAAUUCCAUAUGGAUUGUAGCACCUUGGAAAUAGGUAGGAAGAUAAGACUAAGGCCUUGUGGCUUCUCUUAAUAAUCCAUUUACAUUAAUUAACAGCCUUUGUAAGGCUCAAAUUCUUGAUCUCUUAAAGCAAGUUAUCCUUGAGAUAAAAUUUAUUCAUUUAAAAUUUCUAUUAUUUACCUCCUAUAUUUAAUCUAUCAUAAUAUAUUCAUAGUAACUUCAAUUUAUAUUUUUUUAUGUCAUUAAAAAGAUAAAAGAAUUAUCUAUAUAAAAAUCUAUUUUUUAUUUUUUAUUUUUAUUUUUUUAUUAAGUAAAAAUCUAAUAAAUAUACUAUAAUUAGUUUUGUAGUAUAUAAUUGCUUGAUUAAUUUGAAUAUAAGGAGAAAUUUAUCCUCAUAGUAGGCCAUGGUUGAUGGAUUGAGAAGCCAUAGUCAACUAAAGAGGAGACAAAUUCCACAUUAUCUUUGGUCUAUAGAUGAAUAGAAUCAAAAUCUUCAUAAGAUCUAUCCUUGAUUAUGAAAAAAUUGAUUCCAUUGAUUUGUUAGAAGAUAUUCAAAAAUUUAAAAUACAAGACAAAUUAACAAAGGUAGUCAAUUCAAUUGACCAAAAUUCAAAGAAAAAAUAAUGCCUAUGUUCCAAUCUUUAUAAUUGAGAGGAUAAGGGAGAAUUCAAAUAAUGGUUACAAGAUCAUCUAGACUUCAAUUCUCAUUAUUGUAAAUUAAUUAUUUUUUUGGAUGAAACAUUAGAAAUUAUGGAAGUUCAAGAAAUACAAGUUCUUAGCAUUAAUAUGGAAGGAACCUUAGAAGAAGAGAUUGAAGUCUUUAAAUUGAAUGAUGACCUAAUUCACCUUUUUUAAUUUUAAUACACUUCAACAAGAAUUAUGAUCAAUAAUGGAGUUAUCAACAAUCCUUUUAUAAUUAGUGAUGGAUAUAGAAUUUUUUUUUUAAGAUAAAAAUUGAUGAUGAAUUAACUAUUCAAAAAUCUUUAACAAAUAUAGUAAAAAAAUUGAAGGCUUAAUUGGAAUUUGAAGGACUAGGAUUCAACAUAUAAAAUUAAUUCGAAGAAGGAAAAAAAAUGCUUUUAAAAAAAAAUACAAGAAGAAAGUCUUACCACUAGAGAUGCUAGUAUUUUUGUAAGAUACUAAGAAAAUGGAUUUCUUUAGGAAAUUUGAUGCUCUUUGAUCAGGACCUUAUCAUAUUUGGAAAGUAUUUGAUAAUAACUAUUUACAAUCAAAAACAUUAAAUGAUAAAUUAUUUCUAACAAAAACAUCUAAGAAUAGAUGUAAGAAGUAUAAAGCAUGAAAAAAAUUCAUCUCAUAGUGAAAAAAUACUAUACUCUCUUUGUACCUAAAUGACUAAAGAUUUAACUAAAAAACUUAGUCAAACUUGAUUUUUAUGAAGAAAAUAGGAAACUUGACUCAUCAAAAUGACAAGAAUUAUACUUUACGUGGUUUUUAGUUCUACUAGAAUAUUAUCUCUUCUAUUUAUUAAAAGCUAGUAAAUCCUAUACAACAUAAUAAAUAAAUAAAUAAAUAAUAAAUAAAAUAAAAAGAUCAAACAAGGUAGAAAGAAUAAAAAAUAAAAAAAAAGAUUUAAAAAAAAAAAAAAAACAAAAGAAGUAAAAAAAGAAGAAUAUCUUACUUGCCUAAAAUUCUUUGUAUGAAUCAUCAAAUUUAUUCACUUAUUAUUUUAGGAUAAAAAUAUGCAUUUAAAAUAUUUUAAAUCAUAAUAUAUAGUGAGUAGUAAAGAAAUCCUUAGAGAAAUAAAAAAUUAGAUUGUUAGUAGAGGAAAAUGGAAUCUUAAUAUAUCUUGGAGGCAAUUAUCUUCAUUGAUUUAAUAUUUUUAUUCAUUGUUGAAUACUAAGGAUUAUUUAUUAAGACCAAUAUUUAUAUUGGUUUUCUAUCUAUAUGUACUACUUAUAAAAACUAUAAAUAUUAAUAGUUAGAAGAAGCAUGAAAAAGCACCUCAUGUCAUUUUAAUUAUUGAUAUAAAAAAUAAGAUGUAUAGUAGAUUUAAAUUGAUUUUUAUUAUUAUCAAAAUCACCAAGGUAAGAAAAUGUAGCCAUAAAUGGAUAUUAGAAUUAUAAAAAUAUUAGAGGAUUUUUAAGAAUUUAUUUAGAAUUUAUAUAGUAUUUUUUAUGAAUUUAUAGAGCAAUUUUCAAGAUCUUAGUAAAAAUGAGUUUUACCACUUUGGGAGCCUUUAUAAAGAAAUGGAGCAAGAUUUGAAGGCCACACAAGGAUUCAAGGCUAAUUGAGUAUUUUAAAUACCAUGGUGAGUUCAAAAAUACAAAAAUGUUGGUCCUUCUAAUAGAAAAUAGGAGAACCAAUAGCUAGUGUAGUCUUUGUAGGAAGAAGGGUGCAAAAGUCCCAUAUGGGUUGUAGCACCUUGAGGUAGUUAGGAGAAUAAGACUAAGGCCUUGUGGCCUCUCUAAGAGACCCUUAUAUACUACAUGUUAGCCUUGGUGAGGCUCGAAUCCUUGAUUUAUAAGCAAGUUACCUUUGAGGUAAAAUAUUUUGACUUUAUUUUUUAAUUAUUUACUUCUUAUUUGUAAUACUUCAUAACUUACUUAUAAUAAUUCGGAUUUACAUAUUUUUCAUGUUAUUGAAAAGAUAAUAAAAUUAUUUAUCUAAAAGUAUAAUUUUUUACUUUUCACUUUUAUUUUUUAUUAGAUAAAAACAUAAUAGAUAAAAUGAGACUUAGUUUUGGAUGUUGUAAUUACUUGAUUUCAUUUCUUUCACUUGUAUUGCGGUUGUUCUUCUUUGGUUUUUUGCCAAUUACAUACUUCACUUCACACCACAAAUUAAAAGAAACUUUUAAAUGAAGCCAGCUUGUAAUUGGGGUUGAGAAGUGAAAUUUAUACUUAUAUUUUGGUGAGUGUGCCAGGAGAUGGUGCUCCUAAUGGUGUGUGUGAAUGUAAAGUUGCUUGUUGUUAUUGAUCUUACUUGGUUUUGUUGAGUAAGUAAUUCAAAUAGGUCUUCAUCAUUGGUAAGGAUUCUACAUCUUUCCUUAUGUGUGAAAAUAAAUCAUUUCAAAUUUUCACUUUAUAAGAUAGUCAAGGAUUUCAAUUUUGAAUUGAAUGUGGAUUGGUCUCGGGUUUUUAUCAAUCAGUUUUUAUGUGUUGCAUCUUUUAAGUUGAAACUUCUUAAGAUUGUGUGUCUUGAUGUUAGUAUUUCAAAAAGCUAUCAGAAGUUAAAAUUGGAGUUGAUUUGAAGUUUUAGUGAAUUUUAGAUUAGAAAGAGGUUCAACGAUUAGGCAGUUUCAUGUACCCUUGUUUGGAAAGGCAUUUCUUAGUGCUUGGUGAUUAUUUUACUGUGAAAUGUUUUGAAGACAAGCAUCUUAAAGUUAAGUUUGUAGUGGCAAAAAUUCCAAUGCUAUAGAAUAAAAGUCGAAUUUGUGACGAUUUUUGGAGUGGAGAGAGGUUGCUACCAUAAUCGGAAUACAAUUGAGGUUAGUGAUUUCUAUCUCUUCUAUCAUUUAUAUUUUGGAUUUUAUGUUAUAUUUUAAAAUUUUGUGUUAAAAAUAUUCUUCUUAUUUGUAUCAGAUUAUAAUUAAAACAAAAAAUUAUAUAUAUAUACAUAUAUAUAUAAAUCAAGAAAGAAAUAAUAUAAAAUAAAAAUAAAAGAGAAUCAAUAUUAAAUUAUUAAUAAUAAUAAAUUAAAUAUAAAAUAUAAAUAAUAAUAAUAAUAAUAAUUUAAAUUAAUUAUUUAAUUAAUUGAAAAAUUAAACUUAAUUAAUAAUUUUUAUUUAUUUUAAACUUUUAUUUUUACUUUUAUUUUCUCUUUUACUUGUCUUUUUAUUUUUUAUUUUCAUUUAUUUUUUAUUCUUAUUUUUAUUUAUUAAUAUUAUUUUUUCUUUUAUAUACAUGAUAAAUUUUAUGUAUUGAGAUAAAUUCAAUAUAUUUCUUUGUUUUUUCACUCAUUCAAUUUUUUAAGGCAAUAUUAUUAUUCCUAACCUUAAGUAAUAUUUGAUUAAUUUAUUAUUAGUGUUAUCAUUACUUGGUGGUUUUCUUUACUUGGUUGUUAGUUCCAAAAGCAUAAGAAGUAGAGCUCAUCUUCAAGGUUUCAUCACUUCCUUUCUUUAUAAUUUUUCUUGUUGAGGAUAUUUUUCGAGUAGUAGGAGGAUUUAAUCACCUCCUCCAUCCUUCAAACCAUCUCUUUACAUCUUGUAAAAAUCCAGUAGAAGUCUUUUCUCUAAUAGUAGGAAAAUUUAAUCACUCCCUCUAUCCUUUAUAUUUCUUCUAUUUAUAGAAAUAAUAUAGAAAGAGCAUAAAAAAGAUUCAAGAGAAUUGUUCAUCAACAAAAGAAGGAAAAAAUUCAAGAAGAAAGAAUUACAUAAAGAAGGUAGAUAGGAGAAUCUUGAGAGAAAAAAGAACAUAGAAAAUAGGAAAGGAAAAAUGAAAAGAUCCACAAUUAAAGUCAUAAUUCAAGGUGAGUAUUUUUUUCAACAAAAUUUAUUUAGUUUUAAAUUUAUUUUGCUAAUACAGAUUGUGGUUUGAAGAGAAGGAGCAUGAAAAGAAAGAAGAAAUGUAUCAAUAGCUUGCAAACAAGUAAGUCCAUGAAUCUUGUCAAUUAUUUCUAUCUUUAAAAUUUUAGAAAAUUACUUGUAUAGAAGAAGUGGGAGCUAGGAGUUGAAGGAUAGAAUCUAGGAAGAAGAUGAAAGACGAGGUAACCUUCUAAACCUUCUUAUAUAUUUUAUUUUUCUUCAGGAUUAAUAGAGCCUUAGAACCCUUUUCUAUCCUAACUCAAAAUUAGUUUUUUAGAAACCACUUAGUUCGAAUCAGAUAAGAAGAAGUCCACAUUGGAAUUCUUUAGCAUAUGCCAAGUUAGCUAGAGAUGCAAGUAGGUGAGUCUUUCUUCAACGUGAUGUGAUUUUCUUGCAAAGAACAAUUUUUGUGUAAAAAAUAAGUAUUUUUAAUUAUUGUAGUAGAUAAUUCUGCAACCGUCUUAUUGUGAAAAGACAAAAAAAAGAAAGAACUCAAGCUUCUUGUCAUCUUGGUGUCAUAAUAUGUGAAGUCUUGCUUGAGAAUGCUCCAGGCACCUGGCUGUAGAAGGUAGAAUAGAAAUUGCAACAACAAAAUCCUAAUUUUAAUAGAACAAUAACAAUGCUAAACAAGCUUUAAUCAAAUUCAAAGAAACCUCAAAAGAAUUCCAAAGAAAUAAUAAGAUAUCUUAAAGAAAUAUAAGAAUGAUUACAAACAUAUCUCAAAUACAUCUCAAUUCAAUGUUAAUUUUAUCCUAGUUAAAAUCUUACUUCAUUCAAACUUUAGGCCAAAAACUAACUAAAUCUUAAAUCUUAAACAAACUCAAAUAAAACCUUAAAUUCUUAAUUUAAUUUUGAUCAAAACCUAAUCAAAUCUUAAACCCUAACCAAUUCUUAAAUCCUUAAUCAAACCCUAAUUCUAAAUCAAAUCCUAAUCAAAUCCUAAAUCCUAAUCUUAAAUCAAACCCUAACCAAAUCCUAAAUUCUAAUCCUAAAUCAAAUCCUAAUCAAAUUUUAAUCCUAAUCCUAAAUCUUAAAUCAAACUCUAACCAAAUCUUAACCCUAAAUCGAAUCCUAACCAAAUCCUAACCAAAUCCUAACCUUGAAUCAAAUCCUAACCAAAUCCUAGUAAUUUCUAUAAUAAAUUUAAACUUCAAUAAUUAAUGAAUGAAUCAU
rnacentral:lncRNA from 1 species